ACUAAAAGUCAAUCUCCUAAUUUUCAACCAAGUGAAAAACAUAUAUAUAUAUAUAUAUAUAUAUAUAGUCCGAUUAUGGUGCUUGUAAAAGUACUUAGUAUUUGGUGCUUGUAAAUUCUUUACCGUUAGAUCUAUGCCUUUGAUCAUUUUCACCCGUUAGAUUAUACUAUUCAACCAACCAUCCACUUAAUCCUAGAGGGCCCACAUCAUCUUAACCGCACAUUCUUCAAUUGGACUAGGUGAGGUACAUAUGCAUCAACUGAUUUAACUGUUGUUUUUUUAAAGAUAGGUAGCACGCUACCCGAUUCGUUUAUUUCAUUUAGAAAUAAACUUAGCUGAAAAUAUGAAUCAACUAGGAUUCGAACUUAGGUCUCGAGUGCCAACCAUCAAGUUUUUUGUCACUUUAGGGACGGCCGGUAUCAUCUGAUUUAAGUGUUGAACACUGGAGAUGCUAUUCAUACGAUGGAGGCCAAAAUUUGCGUUCACACUGCUAAGAUUCUCGAAUGCUUGUGGGAUUACGACAACUUCGUCGGCUCCACUUUUGUCCGCUUGGGGCAUGUCUUCAAUCCUGGAGCCAAAUCCGCUGUACGGUUUGGCUCCCGCCCUUUGUUUCUCCUUUUUGUCCCAGCAUUUUAUUUCGAAUUAUUAUUAUUAUUAUUAUUAUUAUUGCUUUAUUAAUUAAAAUCCAAGUCAAAAAAUCGUCAUGGGCGCUGCGCCAAGUCCAGGUCAUGCCCGUGUCGAACAAUUGUACCCCAACAAAAGGGGCACCCAAGAGUGCCCACCACACCCGCUUUUUUUUGCUUGUUUUUUUUUUUUGGUUUCUGUUUACUUCUUAUGUUUUUUUGUGUUUGCUGUAGGAUCUAUGCAAGACGACAAUAGAGUCUUUCUAAUGAACACUCAAAACUCAUUAUUAUUCCGACCUGUGAUCUCCUGCAUUCAAUAUCAUACCACUGCAGAAAAAGGGAGUCAAAAUUUGGUGAACUGACACUGGUCACCAAGAACACCAAUCUAUGAAUUCCUCCCCGGUAAAUUGCACUAAUUAGUCUCCGUUAACUUAUGUUCCAGUUUUAGUCCUUAUAUUAGCAAACUGUUUAGUUAAUAAAAUUAUCAUUCUUUAUACAUUUACAAGUUUGUAUCUCUCAUAAUACAUCCCUCGCUCCGUAUUAUAUUUUUCUUUCUCAAUUACCUUUACAUUCUAUUAUUUUACUUCUCUAUAUCCAAUAAAAUAAUAUUUCAUACUAUUUUAUUUAUGCUUACUAUUAUAUAUUAAAAAUUCGACGUACUCCUUUUUUCCGAUUGUGAUCGCACCAUAAUUUAUACUCUUUUUUCUACUUCAAAACUAGAUAGUUGAAAUAAUAAUCUUCAAAAUAGAUGGAGUCACGGAGGGACUCAAAAUUUUUUUAAAUUUCGAAGAUCAAAAUGAAGUAUGUCUAUAAGUAAAUUUGACCAUUAAUGUGGGAAACACUAAAACACACAACAGUAAAUACCCCCUUUUUCCAUUUCUUUUCCUGAUUUUUUAAAAUCUACAUUUUACUUUCUUACAAUUUUAAAAAUAUUUUCAAAAAAUUAUGUAUUAAUGAAGAGGGCGAAAUAACUAAAUUAUUUUUAUUUAUUUUAUAAAAAGAUAUGUUUUAAAAAUAUUUCUAUCAUUUUUUAGAGUAUUUUUUAUAUAAAUUAUAAAAAUUGGACGGUAUAAUAAUGAAAUCCUGACUGGAGAGGAGUAAAUACAUCAACUUAAAAUUUUAUAAGAGAGUAAAAUAUAAAUUUUUGAAAGUUAGAAAAAAGAAUAAAAAAAUAAAAAUUUAUACAGAUCUUUUAUAUUUUACACUUAUAAUAAUAAUUAUUAUUAUUAUUAUUUAUUACCAAAUACGUGUAGGAGGUGCUCUAUUCCACAUUGAAAGCUCCAACCGCGCACCCCACCAGUUGACUGCUUGAAACCGAAAGCACAUGAAAAAGAAACAAUAUUAUACCUACAACCAACUUAUCGUGACACCUUUUUUUUUUUUCUUUUUCUUUUUUUUUUUCCCACUUUCCUUUUGGUAGCUAACUUGGCCCUACGCGUGCCUCAACCCGAGCAUAUAUAAAUGCAAUAAUAAAAUAAUAAAAUAAUAAAAUAAACUUUAAAUUGCUCCUCUAGAUUUGGCGUAUCUUUAUUUUAUCAUUUUAUGAUUUAAAAAGUUAACUUAAUUAUUCUGUAGUGUUUUUUUUUUUUUCACCCAAGAAUCAACUGAAAAAUAAGAUGGUAAAGUAACAUUUUUCGUUAUCCACAAAAUGGUACAAAAUAAUGCUUUACCGUCCUAUAUUCUGUAUUUUAUUUUCUUGUUGUUUUUACAAAAUACAAUAGAUUUUUCGCAAAAAUAAAAUUAUAUGAUAGUUAAAUACAAUUUUUUAAGGCACAAGAUGAUAAAAUAAAAAUACGUUAAACCUCGGAAGGAGCAAAUUAAAAUUAGAUAAAUUUUUAUAAACUUAAUAUGUUUACCCGUCCUCAUUUUUUUUUCUUCAUACUAAUUUUAUAUAAUUUUAUGUAUAAAUUUAAAAACUUUUUCUUAUUGUUACGAUAGGUUAGUUUGUGAUACAUUCCCGCUAAAUAAUAUAUAAUAAUAUUUAUAAAUAACAUUACGAAAAUUACUUUUUUAUUUUGUUGCCAAACCCCCAAAAUAAAUAUCAUGGGUGGACGAAUUGUUAGCAAUUUACCAUUUCCUCCAACACAUAUUUGUAUAAAAAAUUUAUUUAAAAAACUAAAAAAAAAAAGACAACAAUACUAAAUGAGGCCUUAGUUUCUACUUCAAAUUGCAUGCUUGAAACAUGUGACUGACCAAACUAAAUUAACCGACCGUCUCUAGAGCUAGUGGCAAAGGGCUUAGUGGUUGAUACCGGAAGUCUCAAGUUCGAAUUCUAGUUGAUUCAUAUUUUCAGCUAAAUUUAUUUCUAAAUAAAGUAAACAAAACAGGUAGCGUGCUACCUAUCUCUCAAAAAAAAAAAAAAAUCUAAAUUCCAUGCUUGAAAUAUCAUUCACCAAUUCUAUAUUUGUAGUAGGAUAGGUUGUGAUCUGGAUAAUUACACAUGUUGAUGACUAAGCUAUGACUCAUCACCCUUUUUUCUGUCCCAUCUGCAUUCAAUGUGAGAAGGAUGCAGAUAAGAAAAAGAAAGAAGUGCUUAUAAUUGAUGAAGACCCUUAACAGGAUAAGGCAAAUUGAAUAUUAAAAUUAGAGCAUUUAUAAAAUGCCCAUCAAAGUAAACACUAACUCCACAUCAACAAUUGGGACAGCACAUAAACUAUGCACCACUCACAAAAAGAAGGGAAAAAGGAAAAGGAAAAAAAACAAAACAAAAAAAAAAAAGAAGAGCAUAGAGCUCGCCUAGUAACUGGUAUUGGUCAACAAUGCCUAUAAAGUGUUUGUAGAAUUGCCCCGAACAAAAGUAAUGGUACUUGAUUAAAUUUUGAAAAGGAAAGAAAACAGAAACAAAAAUAUGGCACUUUUUUGAUUCAACUAAUUUUGUACUACUUGUUGCGUUGAAUGAAAUGAAAGAGAAAUAGCAAUGUAGUGUGUAGAAAACCUAAGCUGAUCGGUACUGAGAGCGUUACCUACGACCCUUUUCUCCUUGUUCGUCGUCUCCUUCAGGAAGGAUGGUGAUGGGGGUUUGGGAGAGCGGGAUCCGAGCUUCGCCAUGGACGAGGGGGGAGGUCUCCUCCUCCUCCUCCUCUUCCUUGGCAUCUCGAGCGCGGUCGAGGUAGGGUUUGAAGCCCACGCGAAAGGAGAGGUAGGCGAAGGCGAUCGCUCCCACCACCACCACUCCCGAUCUCAUCGCGUUUUGACGCGCUCUCCCAAACUCCCUUCGCUCCAUCUCCUCUCUCUCUUUCUCUCUCUCUCUCUCUCUCUCUCUACCCGUACUCUUUUCCUAGGGGCCUGCUACGAUGCCGACUCUCUUAUGGCUCACUUGCACAGGCGUUUACAAAAGUCGGCAAGCUUUAUGUCUCGUCGCCGAAUUCGAAGGAAUUUGCGUUUCGGCACCGAAUUCUAUUGCCAAACAAACACAUUACCCACAUGGUAGACCGUAUCUUGCACCGUUAGCUAAAAAUUUAAUUAUCAGUGUUUUUUAACUGAAUUUAUUUCUAAAAAAUAAAUCAAGUAGAUAAUAUGCUAUCUUUUUCUUUAAAAUACCGUACAAUAUUGACCACGAAGGCUUAAUUUAGUUUCAGAAAUUUGGCUCGAAUUUAAUAGUGCACGGCCAUAUGCACAGCAGUGUACACACUGCUCGAACAAAAAAGCAAUCUAAUUAUGUUUUUUCGAUUAACAACUUUGAGCUUUGUUUGCUUUGAGAUGAUCCCAAAUUUAUACUACAAUCCAAGUAAUCAAUAAAACAGAUACAAUAGAUCUAAGGAGCAAAAACCAUUCUGAAGUUCCAUUCUAAACCAAUAGCAAUUAGUAAUGAACGACUUCCUAGAAGAAAAUAUUCCCAAAUUUAUACUACAAUCCAAGUACUGAUGAAACCGAUCUAAUAUAAAUAAGGAGCAAACCAUUAUAAAAUUCCACUCUAAACCAAUAACAAUUAGUCAAUGAAUGCCUUCUUAGAAUAAAUAUUCCUAAGCAUAUAAAAAAAUAAAUAAAUGUUCGAACAAUUUACAAGGCGAAGUAGUAAAGGUGCUCACUUUACUAGCUCGAUGUUAGGGGCUUAAUCACAAUGUUAAAAUGCUAGGUGGCUAGAAACUAAAGCUGUGCAGUUAGAAAGAAUUGGAAAAAUCAUGGUGAGCUCUACAUCUUCAAGUGUGAUGUCCAUCACCUCGAAUUCUUUCUUCGAUAGUUGAGAACCAUAUCAUCCUGUUUCCUCCAUACGAAAGUUCGGACCGUGUCCAGACUCAAUUCAAGCGGUAGGACCUGCAUCAGAUGAUAAUGUAAUAAUAUAAUAGUUAUAAGAAGAUUGGGCAGGAUUGCGCAAAGAGGAUCAGGUCAGCUUUAAACUGUUUUUUAAGCUUAAAAUCAUGUUUUACAGUUUAAACAUGACAAAAAAAGAGCCAUCAUGAAUUUGAAGGUACAAGAUUGCGGGCACACUAGAUGUUUGGCUCAUAGUAAAAGCCAAUCGUCGUGACGUCGGAAUGAUUCAAUGGUUAGAUGCUUACCGUACUUUACUGUAUAAUUCUUUCCUAUACUAACUAACAAAACAAAAAAAAAAUCAAGGAGAAGAGGGGACAAAAAAAAAAAAGAAAAAGAAGCCUCCUACUUGCCUGGUUAUUGCACAAGAUCUCUAGCAUAGAUGGCUUUAGAUGUUGCCACGGCUUUGACCCUGAACGUCGGGAGCCAUCGCCAUUGCAUGAAAGUGGCGACAGACCACUGCUCAGUCCCAAGCAAAAUCUCCUGUUAUAACUGACAGAUUCCAAUGGUUUGUCAAGAAUGAUUUUCUGUAUCACAUAAUUAAUCACCUGCAGCGCAAAGUCAAAGAAUCUCCAGGGUGAAAAACCAACACCACAAAGUCCGAGAAUCCUCAAGGUGAAAAAACCAACACCCAGGAAAGGGUUUAGCAAAUUGAAACAAGGCGAUAUCAUUAGUUAUAGUAAAGGUUGCAGAGAACAAAAUAACUCAGUUAAUAUUGAGCAGUGAGGUUGGUCAAACAGGACAGACAAAUUGGCAAACUUUUAAAAUUUAGGAGAAUAUAUAAAUAUGAUGAUUUAGAAUAUGGAGGAGAAAAUACUCUUUGGAGAUUAGGCACAUUUUUUAUAUACUUAAGCACAAACAAACAGCAUCGAGUCCUACAGCAGUUUGUGAACCCAAACAGCCAACCAGAUAUAUUAAUACUUACUUUGUUGAUCCGCAAAAUACGAUUGGCAUAUGAUUUUGCUUGUGAUAUACUUGGCAGAUCUGAACCUUCACAAGGGCGCAAAUAAAAGCCCAACCUAUAUAUAUUGACGAAAGGAGCAGCACAAAGUUAGACGACAAUUGCAAUAUAAUCUAUAAAGCAACUACCACACUGUAUCGUAUAUAAAUGAAUAAUGUCAGCAAAAUACUUUCUAUUAUCCUUAUUAUACCUAAUGGUGGCAGUCCUUUCUAAUAUUUAAGACAAACUACAAGAUAGGUUCAUCCAUGUUCAUCCAUGCUUAGUGUAGUAGUCAUAUACAGGAGGCUGAAUAGGGAAUUUUAAAUAUGAUAGACAAAUGGUUUCACAGUAUUUUGCUUUUCUUUCUUCUUAUUCCAAUUCUUUUUGCACACCGCAAUUUAGCAGGAUGAUAAAUGUGCACGCAACCCCUCAACUCCUUUUCUUUUGAUCGACACCCCCUCAAUUUAAGUUGUUUUCGUCAAUCAAGUUGCUGAUUUGUUUUAAAUUUGAUUCUGAUUCUGUUAAAUUUAACCAUUUGCACAUUUUUUCAGUGGAUGAAAUUGCAGGUUUCGUUAGCUACAAAUGACUGAUAGCAAACAAAACUGUUGACUUUAAUAAAUCCAAAUUUGAUUUGGUAAAUUAACUAAAAUUAAAGCAACGGACAAUUGAGUGGUACCAGUCAAAAGAAGAGUAGUCGAGGGGUCUAUUCAAAAUGGCACAUUUUACCUUAAGCAGGAAAGAACUAAAAAGAAAAACUAAUUACUUUAUAUGAUCCCUCGGAGGUAAUCGGCCGUUCAACACGCAGUCUAUACACCACCAAGGAAGAUCCUUUUCAUCUUCUGUCCCGUCUAAAUCUGUAAUUUUCUUUCUCCAAGGGACCCCACAAGAACCCUCUGUAACUAUCGACGGGGGUGAAACAGUUGAAAAAUCAAAUGGAGGGAGCACCGUAGUAUCGUCGAUAUUGUCUCUAUCAUCGAACUCAACUCUUGAAUGGAAAACAUUUCUAUUAGUUACAUCCUUCCCAAUUGAACCAUCAUCCUUUGUAGAGGCUUGCAAUUCACAUCUCAGCCUUUUGUUGGUCAACCAACAGGCCAGUAAACCACGAAGCGUCUCUUGAGCCAAAUUAAUCUGCAAAGGUUUUAAAGAAAUAUUGAGGUAAAAAUGUGCAGAGCUUACUCAAACUACAGAGAAUUUUAAAAAUGGGUACCUGAACUUCCAGAAUUGAUCUUACUACCUAACCUUACAGUUACUCUGACUUCAGAAAACACCGUCAAAAUCUGUUAAAACUUAAACACCGUCAAUUCUGUCAACUGACAGAAUUGUCUGUUACAUCACAGAAUAUUCCAUCACUAAGUUUCGAAAACGCAGCUGAGCUCUGAUGUAUAGGUACUUAAAUGAAAACUACUGUCAGAUUAGGUAGUUAAACAAAAUUUUUAAGUUCAAGUAACUAUUCCUUUACAUUUUUAAUUAUAGAUGUACUGUAAAACUUUAGCCAGUAGGGAGGUGAAUAUAAUGAAUGCAGCAAUCUAAGAACAAAAUGACGACAACACCCCACCCUCAUAUCUUCGUUCUCUUCCGAUAUAUUGAAAUCUACGGCAUAUGUUUCAGCAUAGAAGCAUUGAGGAUAAUCCAAAUGGACAGACAAACAUCCAAGCCGAGUGUCCGUAGUAAACCAUGAAGGAAAGCUCACCUUGAAAAAUAAAAGCAAGUUCGAAAGAAGUCAUGGGCCAUGGUAAUUUAUGAGAUAUAAUAGUACAAAUUUAAUAAAUAUGAUACCAUUUCAAAUAACUCUUCUUUCUUUUUGUCAAAAGAAACCUGCAAGACAGAAAAGGUCGACAAUUCUGAAGUUAGCACUUUAUAGGGCUCUUGGAUACGUGCGCACGCGUGCACACACAUCUCUCUCUCUCUCUCUCUCUCUCUCUCUCUCACUCUGUGUAUAAAUUAGUUUUUUGAAAAGAAUAUAUGAAAAUCAGAUUUUGCAGGGCUAUACAUAUACACAUGAUUUCGCAGGAGUAAACAUGUAAAUUUCUCUUCAUUAUUUAUAUAUUUUAGGUUGCUCACUUAUAAAAUAUUCACAGAUGAAUAGUAUCAACCAAAUUGAAUACCAAUUGGAAAUCAUAUAUGUUGAAGUCGUCGAACUAAUCUGCUUAGUUACUUUUUCCAGCAUCAGAGAAAUUCGAGUAAGGUAAUCAAAUAAAAAUAAGAAUACAACCUUGCCAUAAUCCUCAAUUACAGCUCCACUGGUGAUUUCCCACAGCUUUACUGAACCAGUAGAGUCCUGUUAAAGAGAUGUUUUAAGGAAUAACAUCCAUUGUCCAGGUAAUAGUCAGUAGAACAAAAGGUUAAAACAGUAAAAUGAUAGAAAAUAUCCUAAUCACCUUAGUCAGGACACGCCGUCUAUUAUUCAAGAUCUCAUGUUGUAUAAUUACUGGAGAUCCUGGAAUAGUAAAAGAUGAUUCUUUAUGUACAGGGGCCUGUAAUAGAAGAUGCAGUCAUUGAUCAAAGAAAACCAAUUUCCACACACAAAUUUCUUCAGAGGUUAAGUGCUUAGCAAACCACUAUUGCCAUAAUGAGAAUGGUCGCAACCGACAAAAUUUUAAAUUUAAAAAAUCCAACAAAAACUACCCACAGAAGUUUAAAUAUCGAGUGCAAAUAUAAAUGUAUGACUCACAGAUGCUGUUCCUUCCAAUGAAGCUGAAGCCCUUGUAGAGGACAAAUUCCCUGCUACGAAUGAGCCAGCUUUUCCAAAAUCCUUCUGAAGAUUAUGCCCGUCAGCUGGCCACCCUUGUACAGAAGAAUCUGUAGUCGCAACCCAUAUAGUCUCAUCUUGUAAGACCAAUUGUAGAAUUGAGUGUUCUUUCGUACAAAGGACGAGACUCUCUCUAGUCGACAAAUCAGUGAGGCAUAACUGAGAUAUCCAGAAUCAUGCAGAGAUAUAUUAGGCAGAAAAUUGUUUGAUUAGCUCUUACAUGAUAGUAAAACUUUAUUACACUUACUGAAAGGUCCCUUCCACCACUAUAAACAUGCGUGAAAUUUGGAGUGCUCGCAAGUGCCCAAACUGAAUCUGUGUGGACAGCAUAAGAAUGUAUGCAACGCUGUUGACCGAGAUCCCAUAAGCUGCAUGAGAAUAAAUAAUAAAUGCAUGAGCUAAAAGCCACAGAAAAACACUGGUUUCAGUAAAACUAAUGAUGCAAUAAGACUGCUACCUUUAUCUCAAAAAAAUGAUGCAAUAGGACACCGGAUUUUAUUAUUCUUUUUCAUAUUCGCCUUUACAUGACAUUGUUCAAAGAAGAAGAGAAAUCGCUUUUUCGAAAUCCCAUCUUUUCAAUUACAUUAAGAGCUCCCAAACUUUGAGUGCAAUACCUUAAAAAUUUAUUCAAUACAAGUAAAAUGCUCGCAUAACCAUUACAUUCUCAAAGGAAGACAUGGUAAGCACAAAGGGUAGAAUUUAUUACCGUAUCAUGGAAUCGGAUGAACCUGAUAAACAAUACCUGCAAAUAGGUGUUUAAAAGCAAGUUAGUCUUGUUCGUUUAAUGAGAAUGCAAUUCCCUGAUCAUUACUGGCAACUACCAACCUUCCAGUGGAAUCAAGGAGCAAUGUCCUGAUGUUAUCAGUGUGCCCUCGUAGUUUCAUGUUCUUUGAACCAGUUCGUGGAUCCCAAACACGUAUGACCUACAGAUUACAGAUAAAAAAAUGAGAAAAAAAGAUAAUAUUAAAGGCAAAAGGAUGUACUUUAGAACAACAUCAGUUGUAACACUUUAAAAGUCAGUGCACACACCUUCUCAGUGCCACCAGAAACAAGUACAGUUCCACUUUCAUUCAUAGCUAGAGCAUAUACUGACUCCUUGUGACCUUCGACAGCAACUGGACUAUAACAAUAAUGUGGUUCGGUGUUAUAUACAGACACGUUACUGCUAGUACUGCUACAGUGCGAACUUGCCAAAGGUUGCCUGUAAUUUUCAUUUGAGUAAUCAUCUUCCAUUGGCUCUACAGACUUAGCAACUGGGAUAACAGCUGCAUCAAUGUCCCAUAUAAAGACCUCCCCGCCAAGACCUCCAGAGGCAAUAAUAUUACUCUGAUAGUUAAGAACAAAACGAUCAAAGAAUAAAACACAAUAAAAAAUAAUUAGAGACUAUCUUAAAACAUUAGAAAGAAAAGAGCGUCAAUAUAAUAUUCAAAAGAUUACGUUUUUCACAGCUGUUGCAAGGCAAUUCACAUAGUCGGAAUGUUGACGAAGAGUGCUGGUACAAGCGCCAUCAGACAAGCUAUUCCACGUCUGGAGAAAAGAAGCCAGUUUGUAGUGUUACAACAGUCCAUUUUUUGAAAGUUUUUAAAUAGUGUAUCAAGAGAAGAACCUUAAGAGUUGUGUCUGAGGAACAAGAAACUAGAGUGCUACCGGUCAGAACUGCAUCAUUGACCUGCAUAACGAGUUCAAUAAUUUUACAAAGAAAAGAAGCACAUUACAAAAUUUACUAGCAGAUGGCAUCCAAAUUAAAUAUAAAGUGUAAAUCAUUUUAUGAAAAGUUUGCACAUUCACAUAUAGGACAUUUAGGAGUUUUAAUGACCAGUAAAUGUAUAUGUCUAAAACAGUCCUUCAAAAGUAUGUAUUUGCCUGGCUCAGAAAUAGCUUCUUUGGUAGAGAAGCAGAAGCAAGCUGUUUGACAUUGUAAACAUUACAACAGGCUUCUGUCAGAAGAAGAAACAAGAUUCUAGGAGCCAAAACAUACCUGAAAUAUAAACUUCUGAUUAUGGUCUAUAUGAGAAAUAAUACAAAUGUUUUGACAACAUUCUCAGAAUAAUUAAAAUGUCCCAAAACAAUACGUACAAAUUUAGUCUUCUAUGUACAAGUUUGCAUAUAAGAGGCACCUACCAUACUCCAUAUUUUUUAUGCCAUUACGAUCCAAACACUACGAAACUAAAGGCACUUAAUACCAAAUUGGAUCCCAGCAGAAUAAGCAGACGCUUAUUAUAUUAUUGCAGUUAGCAUAAAAAACCAAUAUCAUUAAGGCUUGUCAUGAUAAAGUGGCAUGAAACUUCAACAUGCCAGGAUGCCAAUCAUAAGCAACAAAAAAGGGUAAAAAGUACAAGCACAAUGACAACACAUCAACGUAUAUUUUGAACAAAAAAUAUAAGUGUAGCAUGUAUAGGGAAAAAAAGGAUAUACCCAGUCAAGAUGCGAGUCAAAUGUUGCUGAGAAGGUUGGCCCCUCAUCUGUGAGAGCCCAUCUUUUUAAGGUCCCAUCUCGGCUUCCGGUGAAAAGGUAAUCACAGCAAUCAGGAGUCGAACUUUGUAAAAGUGCUAGGCAGUUAACGCCUGCACAGUGCUACAAACAUAGACAACACUUAAACAAACCAUAUUAUCCAUAAUCUAGUAUUUAAGCUCAAAAUCUUGAAGAUCAUGCAGAAUGAAGGUGGAAGUAACCAACAUACCUUUGUGUCAUCUGCAUCAUUAAGCACAUAGGAUAACCGUUUUUCCUUUCGAGGGCGUGUUGAACCAGAUGUGGUACUACCACUCCCAACACGCUGCAUUGCAAAGGGUACCUGUACAAACAGCAACAGAACAAUAAUUUCUCGCUCCCUUAAUGAAAGUACCAUCAAUACAACGACUUACGGGAUCAAACCAAAAAAAGCAAUAUGAAUGAUAUAUACUAUGAUGCACUAAUAAUAUAUUUCCCUUCUAAACUAAUUACCGAAAGCGAAAGCAGGGCAUCUAUCCUCAUCCGCGGUCAUAAAUUUAAACAAGAAAACUACAACACGUUAAAAUAUUUGUGUUCAAACUAGAUCUCAUUUUAAAAUUUUCAAUUAAGAAAUAGCAUGAAGCUAUUUUAAUGUAACAGGAGAGAAAAUGAUCAAAAUCACAUGAAAACUAACAGCACAGUAAAAAAUACAGCUAUCCUCAAACUAAUGUGCUAAUUACAUUCACAUAAUAAACGAUGUACAAAUACGGUUAGUCAUAAACUAAUCAUUAAGAAAUAAUGAAACGAAAGAGUAGAAGAUAAUUGAACAAUGCAAAACUAUAUACGCCAUAAAGAAGCAGGAGAUAUAAUUAAUUACUAUCGCCGGACUAGAUGAAAAGCUCAGAUUGCUUAUAUGAUUUACGAGAUUUUCUCCAUUAUAUCUCGUGCAUUGUCUAAACAAAUUACUUAUCAAGUGUUCUCGAUCGGAUUAAAAAGAGACUGGAACAAUCCUACUACAUACCAAAGCAUCAGAUUACUCGAGGAAAAGUAGAAUUACUUUUGACAACUUAAAAAUCGAAAACGUAGACGACGAAGAACACUGCAAUGCAAAAUUACGGUAAGUUUAGCAAUUUACGUAAUGUUGGCUACUUCAGAGUAUACGAUUCGUGACCUUCACCGUGGAGCAAACAGAGCAAGAAAGCAAAGGAGUACGAAGAAGCGGUGUAGGGAGAACGCAAGUGGGAACGCGAGGGUUAGGGUUUUGAUGGAGAGAGAGAAAGGAAUCGAGAUUGAGGAAGCGACGAGGGAGGAGAGAAGAGGAGAGAGAGAGAGAGUGGGACGGCACGAUCGACGGGAUGAACAACAGUAGAACGUCCAAGCACAGGGGCGUAUUUAUUGCAUGAACCUUGUGUAUGCGACAAACAGUGUCCACCGUCCGUUGACUCUUCAAUUCAAUCUUAUACUUCAAAUCCAACCGUUGAAACCUAUUAACAAAGCGAGAUUGGUACAUGGAUGUACGAAAUAAAUCAGGUGUUGGUAUAGUAAUAUCUACGCGGGGCGGGGAUUGAACUAACUAGGCCGUUUCGGCCCUAUUUGGUGUACUGGGCCGUUGAAUGUUCGGUGUUGAUAAGGCACAGGGCACAGUUUAAUUUGGGCCAAAUUUGAGAACAAUUCUCUACCCUGUACAGGAACGUGCGAAGCACAUGCCCUUAGACUCUGGACGACAAAAAAAAAAAGAGAAAAAAAGAAAGAAAGAAAAAACCUCUCCGACCUUUUUUUUUUUGUCCAUUGCGCGCUCCCAUUUCCCGCUCGAUCCCCUUUUCCGCUCUCUCACUCAAAACCCUAAAUCCUCCCCCCAAAAUUCGUAGGGAACCCCCGAGGAGAAAAUGGCGCUAAAGAAGAAGGGCGACGAGGGCUCGGCGGAUCCGAAGAAGCGGAGGCGCGUUGGAUUCGCCAGUAUUGGUAAAAACCAGUUUAGAGGACAUUAAUCCUUUUUGAUCCCUCUAAUCCCUCGUUCUCCUUCCUCCGAUCGUUUUCUAGUGUGUUGUUUUGUAAUUAUCUGUAUUUUUUUUCAUGCUAGUUCAUGAUUUUUCCUUUUAAGCCACAAAUUGCGAAAUUUGGAGUUUUAUUGUUGCAUUUGGAUGGCUUUUUUUCGUUCUAUAAGGAAAAGUAGUUGCCUUUAAGUGAUGUAGUUCGCCUGAUUGUUAUUUUAUUUACCCCUUGACUUUUGCCUUGCAAAGUUAUUUCGCUACGGAUUUGCUUUUCUCUCGCUUCCUCGUUGUUAUGUGCUUUCUUAUAGUUUAAUCAAAUGAUUUUUACUUCAACUUCUUUAUUUUCCUUUGAUUUGUAGAUAGUGGAGUCGAGGCGAGCGAGUGCAUCAAAGUUUUCCUUGGUAUGAGGUUCUCUCCUUGUUGUUACUUAUUCUGCAACAGUUUUUCUAACUCUUAGGAUUGUGAAGAUGUGAAAUUUUGAAAUAGUGGCAUGAUUAAAUGCAGUCACUUUCUAUUUACUAUGCUAAUAUUAUCUUGCUCAUGGUUAUUCUAAUUGAUAUUUUAGAAAGAGUAGAGAGGCGGCUAGUGAGAAAAUCAGUUCUCUUAGCUCAUUUUUUGCAAAUCUUUUUGCAUUGUCUAAGUGCUGAGACCCAGCAUUGUAUUUAAUCUCUAUCAUUUUUCACCUUAUAGCUAGCUAAGAUUGUUCAACUAAUUUGCAUUUUGUAUUUGGCUCCACUUCAGUAAAGAAUCAAGAUGAAGUGGGUGCACCAAGCAGCACUUGUAUUGAUCCUGUUGACCUUAAUCAGUUCUUUGGUGAAGAUGGCAAGAUAUAUGGUUAUAAGAACCUAAAGGUGAGCACAGUUUUGAUAUUUUACUAUUGGAAUUGCUCGUGUAGCUUAUUACAUCUGUAGCUGGUGCCUCCUUUUCUUACUUAAUCCCUUGUUAUACCAGCUGAGCUGUUCUAUUCUAUCUAUAGAUUGAAUGUCUGACUGUUCUAUUCUAUCUAUAGAUUGAAUGUCUGAACAACUGGGUACUCAGGAAGUGGAUUCUUGUGGGUAGUUCUUCUGUUGCAAUGAGAUCACGGAUGAUGAACUUAGCCUUUGAAAAUUGAAACACACGUGGGUGCAGCUGUAGUUAGCUUUACCUGACUCGUGUUGCUUAUAUAUUUGUCCCUGUUUAUAUUAUGGCUUUCCAACAUCAUGAUUUGACCCAACCAAACCUUGCUCUAUGCAAUCCUGUUCUAAGUGAGCUAAGUACCAAGACUAGUUUACAGAAAUGUGAGUACCUGAUCAACCUUCUGGAUUUCUCAUCACACCUCCUAAGAAGAUUUAUGAGUAUAAUAUAGUAAAAGGUUUUUGGUCAUAACAUGGUUGAAGGUUGUUGAAAUAGUAUUGAAUAGCUUGUUAUGCCAGAAGAUGUAGUGUGUAAUAACAGUAAUUGAGCAAUAUUCUCCUAAAUUUACUGGAUAAAUUUGGUAGUUCUUGUUCUUGUCUUGUCCUGGGAUAGUGUCCCACUUCGCCCAGUUGAAAGCAUUAAUCCAUUAUUUGUUGGAAAUUGAGAAAAUUGGUGUAAGAGAUCUUAUUCUCCUUUUGGUUGUUACAUUUUGGCAUCUAGUUUUUUCUUCUUAUUUUUAGUUGCAAACUUGGGACUCAUUAGCCUUUUAUCUAUUUUGCCAUGGAUGAUUUGAGCAUGACCGCAUAAGUUUGUUUGUUUGGCUGAUGUGAGUACUACGCUUUGCUGCGAUUCAAGUGUAACUGGUUUAUUUUAUUUUAUUUUAUUUUAUUUUCAUGACUAAUAUGAUCUCUAUGCCACUUUACCUAAUUGAUUGACCUUAGAAUUUAUGUCCUAAUAACUUCUUAAAAUCUCCUUUGUCUUUCUGUGUUUGCUUAUUGUGCUUUUUUACUUUUAACAUUUUUAUGUGUGAAGACUGGAGAUGGAUGUGGACAUAAAAGUAUGCUUUUGUGUUGUUUUCCUAUAAUAAUAUGAAACCCUCUGAACAUCAUUUCGUGUUUGUAGAUUAUUGCAAGAAAUAUAGCAAGAUGUAUCAAAUACUGUCUAUUGUCGCAAAUGUGUAAAACAAAACAAAAGCCUUUCUCUAUUCAGCUGUUUCUCUCUCUCUCUCUCUCUCUCUCUCUCUCUCUCUCUCUCUUCAAUGUGUUCUCGUACAUUGAUCAUUUAUAUUGCUGCCUUUUUGUGUAGAUCAAUGUGUGGUUGAGUAUCAUAUCAUUUCAUGCUUAUGCUGAGAUUUCGUUUGAGAGCACAGGUGAUGUAAGUAUUGUUGACCAUAUUGCAAGUGUUUGCAGUACCAUUCAUAGAAUCCAUUGAUCUUAUAUGUUAAGUUUGUUUUUCUUCAAGUUCAAGUAUCCAAAUCUACCUAAAUGAGCAUGGAAAGCUGCUUUUAGCAUUUUAGAUGCUGAUGCAUGCUAAUAAUAAUGUGUAUCCUGUAGAAACUGCUACUACCGUAUGCUUUGUUUAUUUUCUUUUAUUGAACACUUUAACUGCUAUGAGUUCUUAUAGGGUGGAAAAGGUAUCACUGAUUUGAAACCUGCCCUUCAGGUAAUCUAUGUUUAUCUUUGAAGUUGGUUAUUUCAGUUAUAAUACUCUCUUCUCCUAAGUAAAUUCUUGUCUGAACAGAACAUUUUUGGGGAAUCUCUAUUAGAGAAAGAAGAAUUUCUUCAAACCUUCUCAAGGGAAUGCUAUUAUCUCAGGUAGUGAUUUGUUGAACUGCAUGGAUUAUAUUGUUGUUUUUCCUUGUCUCAUCAGAAUCUUACUUUUUUUUCCUUCUUCUUUAUAUCUGAUUUUACUGGUCUCAGAAAUAUCACAUCAAACGGAACAGUCAUUUGCACCGAUACCUUCAAGGAGGAAGGUCAUGCUUCUGACACACACUUGGAUGCCGAAAGUCCUACAGUUGAGGUGUUAAUUAUUCACAAGCCCUGGAAUCUGAAUUUAGCUAUCUCUGUUUUAUAUAUGAGUAUCUUUUCCUCACUCUCAAUGUAUUAAAUAAUGCAUUAUGGUUUAUCUUUCACCAUGUGCUCUUUUUAACCUCCUUGUAUAGAAUUUAAUUGCUCUCGUAACUUUUCCCUUUUCUUUUAUAGAUUAUUCCAUCAAAUUCUUAUUUGAUCAAGUUAUUGGACAAGCCAUAAUAUUUUCUUCUAUCUGAGUUCUUUUUAGUAGUAUCUUUCCUUGCAUUGUGAUACAUAAGUGUUAAAUGACACUUUUUGUCUCAUGUCUCAUCAUUCCAGAUUGUUCGCAUGAAACUGCACAAUGAGCCUGCCGGUUUGCUUUACAGUCGUCUGGUGCCCCUUGUACUCCUGCUCGUUGAUGGUUUUUACAAAUAUUCUACUGCCUCUUAUGCAUUAAAAUUUUCAUUUCUGUACUCUAUCCACAAUUAUGUCAUUUGAAGAACAAAAUAACACGGUAGUUUGUAUGAUUAGGUGGAAGCCCUGUUGAUGUCACUGAUCCAAAGUGGGAAAUAUUUUUGGUAGUGAAGAAGAUACCAGCUUCAUCAACCAACUGCAUUUACCAAUUGCUAGGGUUUGCAACUGUUUAUCGCUUCUAUCAUUACCCUGAUAGUUCCCGAUUGCGAAUCAGCCAGGUUAGCUCUCCAAUAUGUUACGCUUAUGACACAACUGAUAUUUUGUUUAUUAUAGUAGCAUUAUUUUGCGUUGACUUGAGACGAACUUUUGAAUUUAUCUUCGUGAUCAUGAGGUCCAUUGAUAAAUGGACUGUAACAAACUUUUGCUUUGUGGUUAUUACUGAAACAAAUCUAAUAAACUUUUCUUAGUACCUUUUCCUGACUCAUAAUUAAAAUAGGAAUUUUUGCAUAUAUACCUCUGCAAAUAUGACACCCCCACCAGAGAUUCCUAUGCAAAACUGUUUUCACUUUAUAUAAUAUGCCCCUGGCAGGUGGAUGAAUGCAAAAAUUACUGUUUUUAGGGUAAUGCAUGAAAAGCCAACGUUCGAAAGACUAUAAAUGCAUUUUCACAUAUUUACAGGCUGGUAUAUAUGCAAAAAAACCCAAUGAACACAUGAAUUGAUUCUGCUCGAAUAUUUUGCUCAUGUUUCUUAUUCUUUUCUUAGAUAUUGGUGUUACCGCCUUAUCAGAAUCAGGGCCAUGGUCGGCAUCUUCUUGAGGCCGUGAAUUCUGUUGCGUCAUCCGAGAAUGUGUACGACAUUACAGUCGAAGAGCCAUCUGAAUAUCUUCAAUAUCUCCGUAUAUUCAUCGACACUCUCCGCCUUCAGAGUUUUGAACCGACCAAACUGGCCGUAAAUACUGUCAUCUCCUUUCUGAAAGAAGUAAAUUUGUCGAAAAGAGCUCAAAAAUCAAAGAUGGGCCCACCAUCAGGCCUUAUUGAGAUUGCCCGCCAAAAGCUGAAGAUCAACAAGAAGCAGUUCCUUAGAAGCUGGGAGGUCCUUGUUUAUCUAAACCUCGACCCUCAGAAUCCAAGGUGCAUGCAGAAUUUUAGGACAUGCAUUGAGGACCGCAUUAAAGGGGAGAUACUCGAUAAGGGUGCUGAGAGUAACGGGAAACGGCUUAUUGAAGUGCCUACUGAGUAUGACAAUGACAUUAGUUUUGUCAUGGUGUGGUCACAGGAUGGGGUAGAAGGGGACAGCUUGGAGGGUGAGGUGGGGGGCGACCGGAAGGCGCAGGAGCAGCAGCUGAACGAGUUGGUUGAAAAGGAAAUGGAGGAUAUUGCUGAGAUUGCUAAAAAGGUUUCUUCAUUUUGCAAGAGUGAUGAGAAACAGAUGGGACAAUGCUAGAAUCCGAAGAUUUGCUAAACAAGAAAAGUGGGUUGCUUUUUUUAAAAAAACUUUCCUGCAUCCUAAUGGUUGAUUCUUGGAUUGUAAAUUGUAACCGUAUGAGUAAAAACUGGAGGAUGAGAGAAUAUGCGGCGAAGACAUCAUGAGAGGGCAGUGGAGAGUUUCAGGUUUUGAAAGAAAAUAUAUUUGUCGUUGAGAGUUGGAGAGUAACCUUGUCAUCUUGGUGAUGCUAAGAGGCUCUUACAAUAUUAGGAAAAACGUUUUGGAUACUCUCUUUUUAUGAAGUUAGUUAGCUACAUGGUCUUGAAUUGCUAUGCCAACUUCAGAAUUUUUUUCUUUUUUUCUUUUCUUUUUUUGGCGCUAUCGUGUGUUUCUGGUUCAUUCGACCCUUUCAUUUUUCUGGCGGUUAGCUUGAUGCAGCGAUGAUUCCUGUUUGGAAGUGUAUUUUCCAUAGAUUAAGUUUGUUUUUUUUUUCAAGUAAUAAUAAGUUUUUUUUGGGUUAAGAUGAGUAUCAAAUUUGAACUUUCAUUUUUGUUGAUUAGAAGCUUAUCUCUAUUUUCUUCUAGUUUAGGCCUUAACCAUGUUCCUGAAUCAAAUGUGCAAUUCUGCUGGAUUAGAAAUACCGCAGUUUGAACUUUGACCUCUUUACGAGAAUAAAAUAUGACCAAAUGGUUCAAAACGUGAUAGCAUUAGCUGAUAUACCUCGGACUAUAGAUGCCUAUUCAUUCCAUUACCCCUAAAUGCUUAAGCAAACACACACCAAAAAAAUAAAAAAAGAUCAUCUUAAUCUUAAAUUAAAUAUUUGAACCUAGUAUAAAGUUUCCGCUGAAUUGACGUAUACACGAAAACAUAUUCACAUCAGAAUAAUAUAAACCUUUCUAAUUAUUUCAAUAUUUCCAGAGCAAAUAUGGAGCCAAUUGGAUUUUUUAAAAAAUUCUUAACAAAAAUAAAAACAAUUGGUAGAACCUUUACGCACUGAUGCGUAGAUUGGUGUAAAUAUAGAAACUCUUGCUAUUUAGUUCUAUUAUACAAUUUGUUGGUUCGUUGGCAUAUGUAAUAUAAACAAUUUUAACUAAUUCGCAUAUACAUUUUAAGAAUCCGCGGACACUCUUCUAAAGACCGAAAGGUUUUUUUUUUUUUUUUUUUUUUUUUUUUUUUUUUUGAGAGAUAGAUAGCACGCUACCCCGUUUAUUUUAUUUAGAAAUAAAUUUAGCUGAAUAUGUGAAUCAACUAGGAUUCGAACUUGGAUCUCGGAUACCAACCAUCAAGUUCUUUGUCACUUGCUCUAGGGACGAUCGGUAAGACCCAAAGGUUGAAAUAUCAAAAUUCUAGAGAAAUUCCGUGAAUUCAAAGGGAGGGUUCGAAGAGCAGUUUAGUCAAUAAAUCCGGACGUACGCGGCAAUUCAAAUUAUUCAGCCAACCAACUUAGAAACAAUUUAUUAUCUUUCAUCUUUUUUAACUUCUAGAUGAAUACAGUGCCUUGUCAAUCCUCCUGCAUGUGACUGUGAUGCAGGGAUUUUUUUUUUUUUUUUUGGGAAAACUUCAAAAAAACUCUAUUGUGGUUUCACUUUUUCUCACUUUAAUACCCUGUGGUUUAAAGUGUACCAAGUUAGUUUUCUGUGGUCGCACUUUCUCACUUUAGUACUCUGUGGUUUAAUAUUUUAUUCGGAAAAAAAAAAUCAUAUGGUACUAACUUGAUACAAAAAUAAAACAACAUAGUACUAAUUUGAUAUAAAAAUAAAACCACAGAGUACUAACUUGAUACACUUGAAAUCACAUGGUACUAAAGUAAGAAAGUGCGAAACCACAAGGUACUAAUUUGAUACACUUUAAACCACAUGGUACUAAAAUAAAAAAGUGCGAAACCACAAUGGGGUUUUUUGAAGUUUUUCUUUUUUUUUUUAGAGUGAUAGGUAGCACGCUACCCGUUUCGUUUAUUUUAUUUAGAAAUAAACUUAGCAAGAAAUGUGAAUCAACUAGGAUUCGAACUUGGAUCUCAGGUACCAACCAUCAAGCCUUUUGCCACUUGCUUUAGAGACUGUCGGUUGAUGUAGGGACUCUCACUUCCUGUAAUUAGAAUUUCAAGAGAAUAUGCCUGAAAUAUAUUCUACUUGCAACGUAAGCAAAGCCAAUUAAGAGGAUGAUUGGGCGGUGUGGUUUGGAAAUUUUUUAUUUUUUAUUUUUUAAAAAAAAUCUCUCUUCUACAUAUUCUAGAAGAUUUUGGCCUGCGUAAUCACGAAUAAAAAAAAAAAAAAGAGGGUUAAUUGCAUCACGGGAUUCCUACUUUACUUUAUUCGGCUUUUAAUUUGGUCUCAAUCAUUUAUUUGGUUUAGUCAGAUUUCAAAUCUUUAUUAUUUAUGUAUUUUAAUUAAGUUUCUAUCAUCGCUGUUAACUCUAAAACGAGCCACCAUGCCAGUACCAAAACUUUUGCGGCAUGGUAGUUUCUAACGUGUGUAACAUUUGUAAUAAUGGAAUUUUAAUUAAAGGUAAAAAUUGGAGAUCAAUAUUGCAAUUAAUCUUAAUAAAAAAAUUAACCCUAAUAAAAAAUAAAAAUUUCAGCGCGGGCCGGGCACAGUGGACGCCCGCUGCGCGCAGGUCCGACCAGCGGCGUACAGAGCGGAGCUAUGUGGUGGCUGAGGGGGGCCAUGCCCCGCCGCCCACCCCAACUUUUCAUAAUUUACAUAAGUCCUUUACAUAUAAAAAAUUUAUAUAAUAUAUUUUUAUUUAAUUUUAAAAGUUUGUUGAGUUUAUUUUAAAAAAGUUCUUGGCGCUAAUAUGGUGCUCUUUUAAUUCUGAGUUUAUUUUUAUUUUUUUAUUUAGUAUUUUCAUAACUUCUAAUUAUUUUAAAUAAUUUUUUUAUUUAAUUAAAUUAAAGAUUAUAUUAAAGUUAAUAGCUCUGUCAACUAAUAGUCAUCAAUUGUCAUAAUUAUAUUUAGUAAAAAUUAAGAAAUUAAAUUAUUCACUGAAUUACUAUUUGAUUUAGUAAAUUUCAAAAUUAUUUGAGUGAAAUAAUAUAAAUAAAAUAAUUAAAAUUUAAGUAAGUAUAAAUAAAAAAGGGUAAUACUUUUUUACACUAAUCAUCUAGUUAAUAUAUUUUUCUCUCAAAAAUUUGACUAGGUAAAUUUUGUCUAUUUAUUUGAUUUGCAUAUAUUUUGACCCCUCUCAUAAUCGAGUGCUAGCUUCGUUCGUGAGUGGACCCUUUUUUUUUUCUUUUCUUUUAUUGGUGCGCAAAGCAAAAAUAAAAAAAUUACAACAUAUGCAAUUCUUUUUAAUUCACUAAAAAAAAGACACGUGAGGGGGCCGUUUCAACCUUUGUCUCCAUCACUUUCUUCGGCGAGGAAAAAAAAAACACUAGAAAAAAAAGGGAGAGAGAAAAAUUAGUUUAUUAAAAAUUUAGAUUGAAUUUGCAAAAAAGACUGCUCAGCUUUACAAACGCUCAAAACUUGUGGAUUUUGUAUGCAAAUUGGCCUUUUACCGGUAGGCUAUAAAACCUACCUCUAAGGACCUUUUGAAAAUGUUAAAGUUUGGGAGGAUCAAUUAUCGUAAACUUUUUUUAGAUACCGCUCAUUCAAAAACCGCGGGAUCGCCGACCCCUGCUUUUAAUUUAAUUUCUAUAUAUAAAGUUUUUCUUCGUCCCACUUCCCCCGCGUUCAAACACCUUCGCUCGUACGUCAUAAAAUUAACAAAAAAACCACUCUACACUAAUCACAAAAAAGUCUCCGAAAAUUCGCCACCCGUUUUUCCUCUCGUGCCCAUUAUUACCUCAAUUUCUAUUAAAUAUUACCUCGUCUUUCGCCCCCUCCUCCUCCUCCUCCUCCUCCGCAUACUAAAACCCUAGAAGGGUUCCUCUCCUUCCUCUCUCCUCGUUCGUCGUUGGAUUCCUCGGGAACUUAGAUCAAGAUGGGGAUUGAGGACGAAUCGCUUUAUAAGAUCGUUAGAGGAGACUUUGGGUACGUCCUGGAAGACGUUCCCCACCUCGCCGAUUACCUCUCCGAUCUCCCUGUGAGUUUGAUGCUGUGUUUGUUCGAUUUUGGAUUUGUUUCUUCUCUUUGCUGGUGAUUUUUGUGAUUUUUUUUGUCUUUUUUUUUUUUUUUUUUUUUUUUUUUUUUGCUCUCAGUUGAUAGUUUAAUUGCUGUGCAACACCGGAUAUUUUUUGUAAGUUAUGUGGUAUAGAGUUGGUAAUUGGGAAGGGGGGGGGGAACUGGAAUGCUAAGUUAAGAUGAUGCACAAAAUAGAAAAAAAAUGAGGAGCGAAGAGAGGAGAAAUCGCUGGGGCGUAACAUCAAAUUGAUGAUAUUGAUCUGUGCAUGAAUAUGCUAUAAUGCUGUGUUGUCGUGAUUAAAUAUGUAUCUUUUGGAGAUCAAUUGCUUCGGAUAAUUCUUUGUACUUUUUCUAUAUAGUGAACCAUUCUUCUCAAAGCAAUUCUAAUUUUAUAGCUGAUCUCAAGUAUUGCUACUUGAAUAAUCAACAUGAGGAAAGCUCUUCUUUAUUUUCUGUCACCAUUUGUGAAGUCAAUUGUCGCAGUUUCGCUUAGCAACAUAAAUGUUUGUUUAGUAACUAUUUAAGUUCAUUUCUUCAUAGUUGUACUUGAAAUGGUUUGGUGAUCUUUCUUUGCAGACUUAUCGGAAUCCGCUCGAAGAUAAUGCAUCUUAUGCAGCGGUCAGGUGCGCUUGCUGCUUCUAUCUGUGAUCUCAAAUUUUGUUUAUCUAUGUUAAGUCAGCACGUAAUGAUGUUUGUUUUGCAGCAUGAUUUAAGUGUUAAAUGCUGAAUGACUAAUAAUUUUCUUCUGACCAGGCAAUACCAUAUUAACGAAGACGACACAAUCACCAAGAAGGUUACUUUUCUCUUUAUUAUGGCGUUUCUCCAACUAGCGAUACCUUUUAUUUUACAAGUGUCCUUAUUGCUGUAUCUUUAUUUCACAACUGUUUUUCUGGACAGAUUGUUGUUCAGAAGAACAGCCCACGGGGGCCGCACUUCAGGCGUGCUGGCCCCGGAAAGAGGGUAAGUUGCUUUGAAACAUGUUCCCGCAACUGCUGUAUCUCCGUGCCUAACCUAGACUAAUGCAAAGCGUUGCAUAUUAUUCAGGUGUAUUUUCAAUCAGAUGAGGUGCGUGCUUGCAUCGUAACUUGUGGAGGGCUUUGCCCAGGGCUCAACACGCUAAUUCGGGAAUUAGUUUGUGGUUUGUCCCACAUGUACGGUGUUGAUCAAGUACUUGGAAUAGAGGUGAGGGAUCUAUGACUUUUGGUUUCGAACUUUUUAUUUACUGGGUUUCAAAUUUAACUUUCUGUGCAUUGGUUCACUGCAAGUGUAUAAGUAUGUGCUCUCUUUACUUGAUCAUAAGGACAAGCAUGCUGCUGUUUGUCGUCUUGACCAUGUGACUUUAAUGUCUUUGCAUUAUGAUUUACAGAGUUCAAUUGAGAUACUCUGAUUUUACCUUUUUUAUUUUGUUUGCAAUCUGGUUUUGUACCUUUGAAUCCGGCAACAAAUUAACUGGCACGGGAGAAAGCAUACCAAAAUUUUGAAGCGAGACAAGAAAAACAGCUCUCUUUUUUUUUUAUUAUUAGAUCACAACAUUUGGUGUUUCCGUAGAAAAUACAUUUUAUGACUCAACUGGCAGACAGAUUAUGGAGUUCGCUGCAUGUGUUUACAUUUCAUAUUGGUCAUUGCUUUGACUUUUCUGAUCUGUUGUGUAUAUAGGGUGGAUACAGGGGAUUCUAUGCUCGAAAUACUAUAACCUUGACACCGAAGAGUGUAAAUGACAUUCACAAGCGUGGUGGCACCAUUCUUGGCACAUCGAGGGGUGAUCAUGACCCUAUAAAAUUAGUAGACAGUAUUCAGGAUCGUGGGAUUAAUCAGGUAAGAAGGCACCAAAAACCAAAAAAAAAAAAACCAUAAUAUCUGAUUUUGUCACUUGCAUAUCAUGGCUGGCUCUAGCAUUCAAAAAAUACCUGAGCGUGUGUAUGUGUUCUCACUCCAGGUCUACAUAAUAGGAGGAAAUGGAACUCAAAAAGGUGCCUCUGUCAUCUUUCAGGUAAUUACAGUUGGGAGAUGAAAAGUGCUAUGCUCUAAGAUCGCAGAUUGACAUGCAUAAUCAUAGCCCAAGAUAUGUCUAAAUGAAUUUCAUUAAAGUUCAAGGACCAUGAGAUUCGUCCUAUGUGGCCUUCUGCUUCUAUUGUGAUCCCUAAUAGAUAACAAUUAAUUUAACCUCUCUUUAGAAGGAUCGCAAAAUGAUAUGAUUAGCUUCUAGCUGCUGAUACAUAAACUGAACCAGGAGAUUCUCAACUAUAGAUUCCUUCUGCUUGCUUUUGUAGUUCUGUUGAUCUCUCGAAAAGCUAGUAAGUUAUCUGCUCAAGUUUUGUAUAAAGUAACUAACUUGGGCACUUGCACCUGAAGGAAAUUCGAAGACGUGGUCUCAAAGUUGCUGUUUGUGGAAUUCCCAAGUCGAUAGAUAAUGAUGUUGCGGUACUUCCUCCUAUUCAGUUCUUCUAUUCCUAUUUCGAUAAGUCAUGUGUCUGAAAUAGUUUAACUUAUGUUCAAAUUUCUGGUUUUUUUUCUUCUUCUUUUUUGUCAUUGGUUCAGGUAAUUGACAAGUCCUUUGGUUUUGAUACUGCUGUGGAGGAGGCCCAGCGCGCCAUUAAUGCAGCACAUGUGGAAGCAGAGAGUGUCGAGAAUGGCAUAGGCGUCGUGAAGCUCAUGGGUCGCUUUAGUGGUUAGUUUUCCAAAUUUUUUUGGGUUGAGAUACCUCAAGUUGAGAAACAAAUUGUACUUUAGUCUCUGACAUUUGAACCCGGUUUAAGCCUUCAUGCAGUUUUUCUUUACAGAAAUAAAUGUUCUAGUAUUGUUAGUUUAUUCAUCCUUUGAUUUUUCUAUCAUGUUCUUGAAUUCAACUAAUAACUGCUGUUAGCGACAUCUUACCUCACUUUUAACAAGCUACACUGAUGCAGGUUUCAUAGCAAUGUAUGCUACUCUUGCUAGCCGAGAUGUGGUGAGUGUCGAGUAUCCUAAUGUUGGCUAAGUUGAUUAUAUAUUAGCAAUUAUGUUUUUCCCGAGUUUUUUUUUUCUUUUCUCUUUUUUUUUUUUGAAAGUUUAGCCAAAAAGCUCAUUUUCAAGGUGAUAACUAUAACGACUCGAUCUGCUAGCAAUAAUAACUCGUUGGGUUCAAAUCACCGGCCCAAAAUACUUAAGCCCAGUUAUUAUUACUAAUGUGUCCGUUACUUAUAAAUCCAUCUGACUCUUCCACAUUAUCCAAUGUAGGACUAUUGGGAUGUCACAAUAACCGUUUCUGUCCCUUUCUUGUAGGACUGCUGCUUGAUUCCAGAAUCACCUUUUUAUCUGGAAGGGAAAGGUGGGCUUCUUGAAUUUAUAGAAAAGCGGCUUAAAGAGAAUGGACACAUGGUUCUUGUGGUUGCUGAAGGUGCAGGACAAAAACUAAUUGAAGCAUCCAUGAAAUGCAUGGACAACAAAGAUGCUUCUGAAAACUUGUUGCUUCCUGAUGUUGGGAUGUGGCUAUCUCAGAAGAUAAAGGCAGAACAACAAACUCUCUUAUAACAUUUUUCUUUUUUAUUCAAAAAAUAAUACUUUUCUUUUUUAUUUUCUUUGUACAGGAUUACUUCAAAAGCAGAAAGAUGCUUCUAAAUCUCAAAUACAUAGGUAUGCUACUUGGUUUUGGCUUCUUUUUUCAUCCAGUUCUUUGUAAAUCACCAACUAAAAUUUAUGAUCAUCUAAUUGUAUCAACACAAUUUCUAAAUUUUUGUUGGCAGAUCCGACAUACAUGAUUCGUGCGAUUCCUAGUAAUGCUUCUGACAAUGUCUUGUGCACGCUUCAGGCUCAUUGUGCCAUUCAUGGCACGAUGGCAGGAUAUACUGGUUUCACUGUUGGGCUAAUUAACGGCAGAAAUAGUUUUAUACCAUUUCAUGUGAGUAUAAACUACUUUUCAGUCUUUAGUGAUAAAUUUGGAGAUUAUUUCACAGAUAUCCUAUAGCAACUGUGACUUGUUAUUUCAUUUUCAACCAUUUUUAAUUCUAUGUAGUAGCAUAGUUCUGACAUUACACAAAAAUGGACUCAUUUACAUCCGACGAACCAUCAAAACAACAUAUUUUUUUUUUGUAACAAUACUAAGUAAUUCUCAGAUAAGAGAGUUCCUUAGACUUUCAGAAAGCUUGGCUAUAAUGAUGGCAAAAGGACUGAUGAACCUAUCUUAUGUAGUUGGGACAUAAGGCACUAUUCUUGUUUCACUAACAUAUUAACAAGCUCAGAAACCAUUGACUAUGGUUUCUUACAUUUUAGGAUUUCAAUGAAUUAGUCACAGUGAUAAAACACUUAAGUAAUAACGCUAAAUUUCUUCCCAUACUCCUAUUAUUUAGCUUGAUCUUUUGUCUUAUAUUUGUCUUGUGACCUCAGAGAGUGACUCAAUCACGGAACAAGGUAUCAAUAACUGACCGGAUGUGGGGAAGGUUACUUAUGUCAACUAACCAACCAAUUUUUCUAAGCCCCAGUGACAUAGAGGAGUUAAAGGAUCCCGAGGAGACCAUAAUAUCUGGUAAUUUGAUAGCAUCAGAAUUCUCACCAUGAUUAUACCAUUUGAGUUUAAUCCCAACUUUUCAAUUGUUACAUUUUUGUUUUCUUAACCGUCGAUUUUUCGUCGUAAUCCUACCUAUCACAAGCUGUCAUGCUAGGUGACUUUUUGAAUUUCUUAUAUGCCAAUUCAGUUGGCAUUUUCGUCCAAAUUAAUCUAGAAGUCUAAUAACGCAUGAAUAAUUCAGUUGGCAUUUUUUCAAAUGAAAUUUGUUACCUAACAUCUGAAAUUUGUGUAACAAAUUUCAAAUGUUAGGGACCAAUUAUAACACCUGAAAGGUUGUGGACCCCUGGUGCAGUGUAAUCUUUCGGCAGCCAACUUUAAAUCAUACUCAUUUUCUUUCUAAGUUUGCAACAUGUUAUAUUUCUUGUAUUUAAAUUCCUGUUGCUGUAUCUGAACAUGUAGAUGCAGAUCCUUUAUUAUCACCAUCAUCUCCUGCACCCCGACACUAAGAUCCGUCGAGCCAAGGCGGCGAACGCCUGAAGGAGAAACCUAGGUUGGAAAUUACUAUUGAGAAAUCAGACGUUUCUGCCGCCUCAUCACCAGGGCUUCAACCUUAUCAACGGCCUGGAUCAUCGUAUUGAGCCCUGGGUCUAGGUAGUCUCUUAAUCAAUAAGCAGGACAAGGGAGUGGAACCAAUACAAUCUUGUAGGAAGUAAACUUCUUUUUGUCUUCUCUCUUUUUUUAAUCUCGCUGAGAAGUUAUGAACUUGUGCACGUAUUGUGUGUAAAGAAUAUCUGUGUCCAUUCAGUGUGGUGGUUAAGAUUUGCCCUAAAUGAUAGGAAUAAUGCUAAAGGAUAAAGCGGAAUACAUUUUCUUAUCAGACAUUUUAAUAUCUUCGUGCAGUGAGAUUUCUUUUUCAUAAAACUUGUGUGUUAUAAAUUAGCUUUUAUUGUUGUUUUGUGUUUCUAUACUUUUUGUUACGCUAAAAAUUUUAUGAGGCUUUCCGGAGAUGAACACGGAACAUGAAAUGCUUAGGACACGGUAGCUUGACUGCUCCAAAAAAUUAGGAUAUGGGCAGAUAUAGACACCCUACCACUAAUAAAACAUAAUAUUAUUAAUAUAAAUAUAUUAUUAUAUAUAAAAUAUUAAUUUUAUUAAAAUAUUAUUAUAUUUUUUAUACGAAUAAAAAUUGAUUAAAUAUUUAUUGAUAGUUUAUAUAUUUUACAAAAAUAUAUUUUCUACUGUACAUAAUUUAUCUAUAUUACUUAAAUAAAUUUAUAUGCAUUCAUUACAAAUAAAAAUAUUAAUCAUCUUACCAUACAUGGAUAAACAAAACUAAUAUGUAUAUAUAUAUAAUAUUUAGCUACAGGCUACUACCAAGUUGUUUUCGAUAACACAGUUUUCGAAUAGACGAUCGGCUCCAUUAGACACGAUAUACGUUAUUGAAAACCAAGUUUUAUAUUUUUCAACAUUAUUUGAUUAAUGAUUAAAAAGUCUUAAAAUUGAUAAUUUUAAUGUGCCGAUGUGAUGCGUUUGUAAAUUUAACGAUAUAAAACAAUUCAAAUCCGUUGAAAUUUUUAUAAAUUUUUUUUCACUAUUUAGAGUAACAUCAGUACCUCUGAUCUUAAAUUUAAUUUUUUUAUUAUCGUUUUUUAUGAGAUUUUUAUUUUAAAUUGUUCAUUUUUAGAUUAUUUGUUUGAUAGAUAAAUAAUGUUGAAAAAUUCUAAAUUUGGUUUUUAAAUACUUUCAAUAGUGUAGAUCAAGUUCAACAGAGCCGAUCGUUGAUUUGGAAGCCGCACUGUCGAAAAUAAUUUGGUAGCACGGAGGACUUUGUACUACUGAUAAUAUAGUAGUUCUCUCUCUCUCUCUCUGUCUAUAUAUAUAUAUAUAUAUANUGCGCUAUAAAUCUGAGUGGUAUGCUUGCGUAGUUGCGUUGGACACGAGUCCGAUACAGAUACAUGCGCGUCGGAUACGAACGUGCGAGAAUUACAUUAGUUCCUAUAAUACAUAAAGAUUUUAUUAAAUUUGCUGGCUCUGUUAGUUACCUAUCAUUAAGUGCUCCAGCUUUAUUCGCUAAAAAUUAAUUAAAAUAAUUAAAUUUGAUAAAACCACCAGUAAAAUUCCAGCAAAGUUGCAAUUAUUUGAACUAAAAAAAAUCAAUUUGCACAAAGUUACCCAUUGAGGGGGGGGUCUAUUUCAAAAUUGCCUAUAUAGUUGAGGUGUUGUCUUUGUAAUGGGACACUAUAAAAAGGAGUGGGGAAAGCGAAGAGAGGCGAAGAGGAGCAGGGGAGAAAGGAUGGGGAUCCGGUUCGUCGUGCUGGUGAACAAGCAGGGGCAGACGCGUCUGGCGCAGUACUACUGCGACCACAUGACCGUCUCCGAGCGCCGCGCCCUCGAGGCCGAGAUCGUCCGCAAGUGCCUCGCCCGCACCGACCACCAGGUCCGCUAACUAAACCCUAAUCUCCCUCUUCCCCUCAUUUCUAGAUCCAUUCCCCCAAACAAUUCAAUUCCCUUCCCUCAGAUCUAUCGCCCCCUCUCUUUCUCCGCUUAAAAUCUCUCUCUCUCUCUCUCUAUAUAUAUAUCUCCUUGUUUCUCAAUUUUUAUUCCAUUUGGAGCAUUCCUUUACCAAAAUCAUGGUUUCUGAUGCGGCGCAGUGCUCCUUCGUUGAGCAUCGGAACUACAAGAUAGUGUACAGGCGCUACGCGUCGCUGUUUUUCCUGGUCGGAGUUGACAACGACGAGGUAUGGAACUCUUUGGCCACGUUCGUCGAUUAUGCCCUGUAUGAUCUUUCAUUUUGCUAGCGUACAGAUCUGGUAAACAUUUGCUUGGAUGGUAAGCAUAGAGCCGUGUAGGUGUGUGCAGGCGAUCUGUUUGAUUAAUGAUUUUCGUUUUGGUGCGUUUGCUUGUUUGAUUAAAGACCAUCCUCUAUUCUGAGAAUAAACUGAAAAUCAUGCGCAGAAUUUAUCGGCGUCACGAUUGUGCGGAUAUCAUGUUGGAAUCUUCUCAUUCUCUUUUGUUAAACAAAAAAAAAAAAGAGAAAAGGCCGCAAUCUCUACAUUAUGCUUUUAAAGAUCAUCAGUCGAAAGAAGGAUAAGAUCUUGGCUCUUAGCUGCUAAAGUGUUCUAGUUUUCAACAUCAUCUAAAUGGCACAGAUAGGAAGCUAAUGAGGCCUUUCUAGGUCAGAUCACAUAAAUCUUCUGGCAUUGAUGUCCUUUGGCAACCCCCCCUAUUGAAUAUUGGGGGCUCGUCCUUGUGCAAUUUGAGAAUAAACCAGUAGCAUGACCUUCUGAAAGAUCAACGGGUUUCAGAAUAAGCUGGAAGAGACAGACCUUGAUUAUCAAUUUCAUACUAUGUAGUUAUAUCCGAGCCUCAAUGAUAGUUUUGGAGCUUUAUUACUAAUCCAUUAUUUUUACAUGUGAAUUAUGUUUGUGCACAUCAAUCUUAUUGACUAUGUUAUGUUUGUGGUAAGAUCAUUAGCGUUUGUUGGCUGAGCCUCAUUUAUGAUUAGACAUCCUGAUAGGUUUCGAAAGUUUGCUUUUGCCGCAUUAUUUAUGUAAUUAUUAAGUAGUGAGAGUCUAAUUUGAAGUUCAACUCACAUAAUCGCUGUUAUCAUUUCCUCCACAGAAUGAGCUAGCAAUCUUGGAAUUCAUACAUCUCUUGGUAGAAACUUUAGAUCGCCAUUUCGGAAAUGUGGUAAGUUUUCCUUUCUUUGUCCUUGUUGUAGAGAUGAUUAAUCCUUUCUUCUUCUUCUUCUUCUUCUUCUUUUUUUCUUUCCUGCCCCUUCUAACUUCUUCAUCCUCGAAUCAUGCUAGUGUGAACUUGAUAUCAUGUUACAUCUUGAGAAGGCGCACUUCAUCUUGGAAGAGAUGGUCAUGAACGGCUGCAUCGUUGAAACGAAUAAAUCAAGUAUUUUGGCACCAAUCCAGCUGAUGGACAAAGCUUCUUAGCUCUCUUAGGGAUUUUCUCCUGCUGUUCUUUCACAUUACAUCAGUUUUUGCUUCAUGCAUGUGUUUCCCUUUCCCUUUCUCUUUCUCCUUUGCGGUUACUUGCGUUGCACUGUGAUUGAUCUUUGUGGUCAUCAUUGUUAGUUUCCAGUAGUUAUCUGUUAUAGAUAUUGCUGUAAAAAUAUUGGAUUUUUUUUUAUAUUAUUUUGUGAACCUGGCCAUAGGCCCCAUACUGGAAGGAACCAAUAGAUUCACCAAUGCAAGAAGUAGAAGUACGAGGCCCAAAUUUAAGGAAAUGUGUGGGGCCUGUGAAAAAAAUAUUAUAAGGGACCCUCCGUAACAGUCUAACCGAAUAAACCAAAUGUGUGCAUUGUAUGUGAUAAACCAGCGGAUUAGGCCUUCUGACCUUGUCUUUGUGUGGAGGCUCCCCAUGUAACUUAAUUUCUGCUGGGUACUCGAACCCAACCACAUAUGCGUGUGAGAGACUGUGGGUCAAAAGAUGCCACAUUCCGUAUCAAAUGCAGAAACACGUCGUUUGUUCUAUCAUUAAAGCCAUGUUCCAUGUAAAGAUCAGGAAAAGAUUUGUACAAAAACCGCAUGGAUGAUCACGAGACAACAGCAAACAUCUGUUGAAACUGCUAAUAGAAGGGUUUUAACAUUUUAUGAAGAAACGUUCAAUAGCCAUUACACCAACAAAAGAUUGACAUGAGAUCUCAGGAGUCAUACACAUAACAGAACGAAUAUUGAUAGGUUGAACGAGAAAAUGAAAAAACUGCGUUAUACGUAUAACAUACAGAAUCAAUAUAAGCAGCCAGGAAUAAAGUGUUGAACGGUGAAUAAAGAAUAAAAAUGAAGAUAAACCAUCAAUAAAUCUCAUUUGAAAUUUCCAAACUGCUGUUUGCCGAGGGUCGACAAUUUCUCACUCCCACCAGUCACCGUUGAAGAUGAAAUGCCAGACAUGCCCCAUCCGGUUCCCGUGCCCAUGGCUCUCCCCAUGAAUGCAGAAGCAGGAAGCCCUUUUUCCUUCUCAUCUGAUCCAUCACUUAGCCCUCCUACUAUCCCUAUAUCUGUGAGGUCUACCUUCUUGGCUGCAUCUCAAAAUAAAAGACAAAAAAGGAACCCGACAAAAUUAAUCAAUUCAAUCAUAAAUCGUAUCCUAAAACUAAAACCAGGAAAGAAGAAUAAGCCUUCGAGUAUAAAGAACUUAUGAUAGUACUGAGCGACUAGAGACUCACGAGCAGUUAUAUUCAGAUCAAUCAGCCCACGACUCAAAGAGUCAGCCCAUAUCCCAGACUUGACCUGGAAAGUAUCCUUCUUUGCAGUUGAUUUAGAUGCUGCUGACGAAGUCUGAUCCAACUUGCUACUUGCUGUUUCAGUGCUUGAAGUAAAGGGAUCAAAAGUGGAUGGUGCUAAAGGUGUUUGGUUCAAAUCGCUGAGACUUGGUGCGGAACUAUGUAAAGGCUCUGUGGUAGUUGAUACUGUUGAGGAAGCGAAGGCACCAAAUGGGUCAGAUCCCUCAAAACUGUUCAAUGGGAUUGCCGCAAAGGGAUCAAAAGUUUCGGUAUUUGCGGGUUCAGAAAUGGAAGUCUUUGUCUCAAAGGAUAAGUUUGAGUUCGGUGCAGCGCUGAAUUCUGUCUUUGAAGGAAAUGCAGCGGGAAAGGAAGGCUGACCAGCAAAGAGAUCAACAUGGCUCUGCAAUGUCAUUUUGGUAGAGAUACGCAAUGUUAGCAAAAACAAUUAGGGGAACUUAUUACAGUUCUAUAGAAACACUGACAUUAAACAGCAAAAAAAAAAUGUUGAAGAAAAUUUAUUUGGUUGUUUCACUUUUCACAUCCAAUUUAUUCAUUUUUCAGUAUCACCAUAGUAUAGGUAUGAAACAUAUUUGGUUCUUAGUUUUCUCACUCCUCUCAUGGACUUGGUUUAGUUUUCCGGUCAUGCAAGAAUAUCAAUUGGAUUUACAUGUGAUCUCUGAACUUUUGAUGAAUCACGAUUUAGUCCCCAAUUUUUUUUUCUUUUUUUUCCCUGAAACUUAUGAUAGUUCUAGCCUUACCUGAGCAUUAGAAUCUGCAGAUGCUUCUGUAUGUGCUGCAGCUGAUUGGAAGGUUGCAUCAGCAAAUAGAUCAGCCUCAGGUGCAGAAGCAGAACUGUUUAUUUCCGUUGCAGUGGAAAUAGGUACAUCAAUGAAGUCAUCCAUCAAGCUUGGUCCAAAGAGAUCCACCUGAUUAGAGCUUGUAUUAGCUGAUCCUAUGUAGAUAAGAUACUGAUCAGAAGCUUAUCACAAAAUCAGUCAAACUCGUAAUACAAAUGUGACACCCCAAUAAUCCCACAUCGAAUAGUUAUGACUAGAUGUGGUGGUAUAUAAGUUUGAUUAGGCUAAACAUGAUAACUGGGUUAAGCAUUUUGGACUAGUGGUUUGGGUCCAACGGAUUAUUAUUGCUAGCGGGUCGGGUCGUUACAACAAAUAAAGAUACAGUUUACUAUAGGUUGGUAAAAUAUCAUUACAGUUUUUUCUAGCAAGUAAUAGAAUAUCAUUAAAUUAUGCAUAUGAAAGUUUAAGACAAUGAGUUGAUCCUGAUUUUCCCAGUAGUGAAAUUAAAGGAAUAAUGCACCAAAAUAAUACCUUAGGAUGACUAAUUUAAACAAAAAAUGAGCUCCUUGUAGCUGAGCAACUUAUAGGUAAAGGAAAGGCAGUUUAGAGAAACAGAUAGUGAUAUACCAAAUAUAAUGAUGCAAGUUUUGAUUAUAUACCAUAACAAGCCUGUUCUUCUUAAGAUUUGUAAGCUGCUAAAUGUUUACCGUCAGUAAGAUCUCAAGUUAUUUAGUUAAAAAUAUCACAACCAAUUUAUUGUAUGGAUGUUAGGUCCCAGAAAGAUCACAUUCCAUCUAAGCAUUAAACAGUAUUGUUAUGCCACUUCACUAAUGCAAACGAACCGAAAACAGGUAAUUCACACUCUUUUUUUAACCUAUCUUCUUUUUUGUUGGUUUUACACAGAUACAUGGCAAGUUGUUUAACUUGAAAUUGUAAUAAUGUCCAGCAUAUUACUUGACCGACCAAGCACCAGUUCAUAACUGAAAAGCGCUCACCAGCUGUAGAUGAUCCGCGCGGAUCAAAGUCAUCAAAAUCAUCUUCAUCAGAAGCAGGCUUGGCACUUGGGAUUUUAGGCGGACCAAGACCUGGCUUAUUCAACGGCUUUGAGGAAUUGGAUGGUAAAGGAACUUCAUCACUAUCAUUUAGAGACGCACAAAAAUAGCAUUAGUAUCAUAAAGAAAAUUAACUUUAUUUCGUUUAAAGCACAAAAGAUGCAAAUAAAGUUACUCAGGCAUUGUUUCAACAUUUCAACAUCAUGGCAGGAAUAACUAAUAAUCCAGGUCUAAGAUCCACAUCAACAUUUUGAGACUUAUGCAGAGAAGAACCUUUUUCAUCUGACAUCAAUCAUACUGUCAUUCCACCAAGUUGGCAUGCUUAUCUCAGAGGUGGCAAAGUUUCCCACUUAUUUUUGGCUGACAUAAUUUCAUCUCAAAGAAAUUCUAAAAUGUAGUCAUGGACAUAAAAACGAUUUAUAGUUUACCCUAAUCUUUUCUUAAUUUCUCAAAAAGAUGUCUUUACCACACAGUAACAUGGUAGCCAUACAAAUCAAGGUUACCUGCCGCGGAGUGUCACUCCCUUCUUUAUCUUAGUACCUCCAGUUUCAUUAGAGAUACUUUCAUUUGACUUCUGACUGUCUUUACUUCUACGAGUUGACUUGGUUUCCUUAGCACCCUGCUCUACGGUUGUGUAAUUGUCUUUGAAGGAGUCAGCUUCUCUUGACCCACUUAAGCUUCCAUAACGGUCGCUAGAACUAUAGCUGCUGCUGCUGCUUCCAUAUGAGGCUGAACUUGAUUUAUAUGUGAUUCCGGUUGAGGAUAGUCCAAAGAACCUGAGUGCAGUGUAAUUACAACGUUAAAGAAUUGGUAUCACUUUUCAUUCAGAAAUACAACAAAACAGAAAGGAUUUUUAACAAAAAAGGAGACAGCCAUCAUAAAGAAUUAUAACAAAAGGGUCUUACUUGUCACGGGUUGCAGCAGCUUUCUCUCUGGCUGCUUUAAUUUUUUCCUUGUCAUUCACAAUAUUCAUAAUUGUUUCAACCUUCUUCCUUACAUUAAUUCCGACAUCUUUUCCAUUAGGUUCAACAUACUCAAAUUUUGAGAGUACCUUAACAUACACACACACAAAAAAAAAGAAGAAUGUUUAUCAGCACACAAAUCUCAUCUGAUAAGAUAAAAGAAAAUUUUUCAUAUAAGACAAAAGAAAGCAUACUGAAAUUUCAGAACCAUGCUCAAGAAUGUCAUCAACUGCACGCUCAGAUCCAUUUGCUAUCAAAUACUCAACGACAGUCAACGCCUGGGGAAAAAUGAAUUAUCAUAAAGAUGACAAAUGUUGAGCCUUGAAAGGUCUGAAGUUUGGACAGAACGAUUAGAAAAGCAGCAUAAAAAACAGCUCGUUUAUCACCUUGUAGACAUGACGCCAAUUUGGACCAGUAUCAGUUAGUCUUGUCCAGAGGACAUUCAUUACCAUUUGGCACUCAGUGCUGCAUUCAAAUAAAGUAAAGACAGUUAAAGGGCAUUAAUUAUAGCAUAUCAUUUGCCACAGACAAGCUUGUAACAUAUAGAGGUUAAGCUUACAAUUUUUUGGUGGCCUGAGCAAGCUCUGAUAAAGCAGAUCCAUGGGGACCCCAAGGCUCAUCAUUUGUCGCAUCGAGAACCUGAAUUCCAUAUUGUUGAUUAGUAUAAGGCGAGCAAUUAAAUAAUCACCAGAAAAAAAAAAAAGAGUGCAAAACUUCAUACACGUAUCAAGUGAUUCAAAUUUAUCAUCCAGUUGUUCGUAUUGUAACACUUAACCAUCCCCAAAUUCAUGUUCCAAUUUCCCAUUAAGAGUUGUUGCCUUGUAGCUAAAUUUUGCUAAAGUUGAGCACGAGACAGCCAAUGGCUCAUAGAAACAGUUUAGAUAAAGAUUUGAUUGCUUAACAUCAUGGAUCCUCCUUAAUUACAGUAAUUUCAUGACCCAAUAGAUUGUCAUGUACUCAAUUUUAACUAUAUUUAAAUGGCAACUCGUAAUGAGAUGACAGGAAAAUCAACCUCGGAGUGACCAAGUGUCAAUUAGAAACAAAGAAUAUUAAGUGAAAUCAGGAUUAUCUCAUAAGAGUCUAAAAUUAAAUCAAACAUAAACCUGUGAGGAUUAAGCAAAACUUUAUCUAGCAAUGACUCCAUUAAGGCAGCUGAAAAUGAGUAAUCAAUAUGCUACAACAUCAUACUUACAUGUUACACCUAGUUAGUAGUUACAUGUUACAACUAGUUUUACAAUAAAACACGGUUUACAUACAACUAGAAAAAUACAUAUGUUUUUAAUUGCACUCAAUUUCUGCUGGGCAUCGUGGGGAAUGUUCUUCCUACACAAAAAGCAUCUAGAUGAGAAAGCGGAUCUCACAGUUCAAAUGUACCGAUAGAUCAAUUUGAACCCCCCCUACCACAGCUAAUUAGCCAAAUCUGAAGCCACUAUUUCCACAACAUUUUAUGCCAUAAUAAACAAUGUUUUUUCGUUUCUCGCAUCGAAUCAAAUUAAAUGAUCAAACUCAUGAAUCGAAAGUUCUCAGCAAAUUUGCUCUUCAUAGCCACCAUGAUGGGAUCUGAUGCUCCAGAUCUUCCAAAAACAGAUUAAAAAUGAGAAAUAUGAACAACAAUAACAAUAAUAACAACACAACACAAAAAGUAAGAUCUAGUUAUGAAAAAGUAAGAACACUAACCUUCUGUUCGAUCUCCGGGACCUUGAGCACUCUAAGAUUGACCUCUCUCUUUCUGAAAACAAAAACGAUCACGGAUCUCAUAGAUCUGAGUCGAUCGAGAGCGAAAUGUAGUCACAUCGAAAUCAAAAUACUCACAUAUCACGAACAGCUUCGUUGAAAACCUUCAUGAAAUCCAUUGAUGGAGCGAUCGGGGAUGAGAUCUCGCCCCUCGGCUCUUCGAAUCGGAAGCGACGCGGAUGCGAACUACUACUCCCCUAGAGAUCGGAAUAUCCCGUAGAAUUUGGGAACGAGAGAGGAUAACUAGGGUUAGAUCCGAAGAAGCUCACACUGUAAUCGUCGCAACAGAGAUGAAUCAAUAGUGAUGAUGAUUGGAGAUUAAACUCUGGAAGGCUACGAGACUCUGUCGGGGGUGGUGAGAUCAGGUCGUUUCUCUUCGGGGUUAAAAAAAUAAAUAAAUAAAGCAUGGAAGACCCUGAACUAUAUGCAAUUUUGAAAUGGGGCCUUUGUUUUUUUUUUCGUUUGUCCCUUUUUUUUUUCUUUUUUUUUUUCUCAAUUAUCCCUUUUUCUUAUUUGAAUUAUUUCACUCUCUGCAUUUUAAACUUGACUGAAUUAAAUAUGAAUCUGUUGAAGUUUAAAGUUGAAUUCAGAUUGAUUAGAAUUGGCUUUGAUACAAGUUGAGUUCAUUAGUACUAGUUGUUUUAUAACAAACUUUAUGUCAUUUCUUUCCCAUUGAAGGCAAUCAAAACAAAAAAGACAAAUAAAAGCAAAAAAAAAUCAUAGAAAAAUUACUAAUUCUACUCCUCACUAAAAAUCAAGUCCUUAAGAGCUGUAAAAUUCAGUCCAUUUUCUGCUCACGUUCCAGAUUCGUCUAAUAAUCAAAAAGGGUCAGAUGAUUGGUUCCUAUAAAUUAUGUCAUUUUUUUCCAUUAGAUCAUUCAUUUGCGACCCUAAUUAGAUCCUUUAUUGUUGCCCCUUAGCGGUGAUCCCCAUCAGAAGUUUCCAGACACCUGUGACCUCUAUCUCAUGCCCUGAGAUAUGCCUAUCUUGUAAGAUGUUGAACAUUAAAAAUCUACUGAAUAUUCAUCAGACAAGCAUAUGAUCAACAGUCUUUACAUCGUUGCCGCACAUCACACACUGUUGAUUUCCGAACCAACCUCUUUUGUCAUUUAUGUCAUUUUUGGAUACUAAUAUUAGUUUGUUUAGAGUGGGUUUGAUUAUGGGGCUAUAUAGGUAAUGAUUUCAACAACAACACCAGCAACAGCAGCCACAAAAAAAAAAGGGCCAGGCAGGAGCUGGAUUUGACACGGCCCGGCCCGGCCCGAAAUCCUGGCUAAUACCAGGCUCACGAUAGAAGUUGGGCUUUUUUGGGCCUAAACCGUCUCGUUUAUUUUACAAUGUCCAAAGAUUAUACUGCCUCUCACAAUGCAGUUUACAUGACCAGUUUUUUUGGCCCUUCUUUAUGAAACUAAAAUUAGAAUUGUUUUCGAUCCGAACUGAAAUAUUCUUUUUUCAUAAUUAUCAACUCAAUCAAAACUAAACUGGUUUGAAGAAAAAAAAAACGAAUCAUCCAGUUCGAUUUCAAAUUGGGUUAGUACAGUUUUUGUUUUUGUUUUUGUUUUUGUUUUUUUGUUUUUUUGAGGUUAGAUGAAUUAGAUAAACCUUGUCUCAUUAUAUUAUUCCCAAAAAAUGAUUUAAGUUUUACCCACCCAGUUCUCGCAAUCCAGACCCUUUCAAACUGACCUCAAAUGUCAUAUCACUAGUACUGAUAUUGCCGUAUUUAAUAUGCCAUUUCAAAUUUCUGUAAGAUAUUAUUAUAUGAAAACUAUGCUUAACUGAAAAAUCGCAUGGAUUUGCCUCUAGUAUGUUGUAUUUGUGCUAAACCCGGAUGUGAGCGCAUAGUUUCUUUCCUUAAUCCAGUUAGGAGUGUAAAUUAAAUUUCAUAAUUUCAUCUCUCGCAUUUGUUUAAGGAGAAAGUUUCUUAUGUGACAGUCACACCAUAUUAUUUAUAAAAAAUCAAUCAUAUCUCUUCUUUUAAAAUAAAAAUACAAAAAUUUUUAAAAAUCACGAUGAAAUGGAUAAAUUUCAUAAAUACAUUGUGAUUGACUAAAAACAUUAAUUAUAUCGGUAAAUGAUAGAACAUGUUUUUUUUUUUGUAUAUGGCUGUUCCUUUCUUAAUUUAACCGUACCAAUUUUUAAAUGAUAGUACAUGCUUUCUUGAAUAUAGGUUUAGUUCCGGUCGAGUACGAAAGAAGAAUUUUGAUGGAUUUUUGGGAUACCUCAGCCGCAUUUCAUGAUGGGCUAUAACGCGUCUAAUCCUUGUUCCAUCAUUGACUUAGGAGUCUUUAAUGCAUCACCCAUCCACUUGGCUACUUGCAUGUAUGAUAUAUGAAUUAUCUUAUUCUUGUGUGCCUAAUCAUUUGAGCUUUAGCUAUACUAGCUAUCACUGUUUUUUUUUAAAAAAAAAUUCUAUGUAGAUCCUUAAUUACUUAGUAAGGCUGUAGCUUAUACUGCAUCCGCCGUGUGAUUCUAAAAUAAAAAGUGAUUAAUCAAGAGUACUUUAGUUAGGUCCCAACCCUCUAAGUUUUUUAUAAUGUAUUUCAACUAGAUGCAGAUUUUGUGCAUUGAUAGAUUUUGUGCAUCGAUAGUGUGCAGAAAAUUUUGCACACUGAUGAUAUUAUCGUCCAUCUAAAAGAUAAAGCUAAAGCAGGACUUACAUUUGAGAUCAAUCUUACAUAUUUGAUAAACAACGAUAUUGCGCACUUACAAGAGUUUUCUAUAUAUCAAUCUUUGCAAUAAUCUGAAUCAACCAGACUAAACCUUCACAUGAUAGUAAUUAAUUAGUAUUUCAGCUUUUCAGACUCGGAUUAUAUGGUGCAUCUACAGCUAGCGUCACUCCAAUCCUAAUCUAGUCCCGAUAUCUCUUGUUUUGAAAAACAUAUAAAUCAGAAGUUGUGCGCCUAACUUUGGCCCCAUUAUUCCUGAAAUUUAGUGUAGACUUGUAGCCAGUUGUUUCAAUCUUUUCGCCUUAAUUCAAGUUUGUUCCUAUGUACCAAUUGUACUCUAUAUCAAACAUCCUUAACUCUUCACUAGAAACAGAUUAGAUUGUAAAAUACUUCUAAGUAAGUCGAAGUGUACUAACUAUAUGUAAUCCUUUGGAUCUUAUACGAUUUACAUAUAGUAUAUAUAAGUUUCAAAUUAAUUUAAUCCGUGGGAGUGUUGAUUGUCCUUUAUAAUUAAGGACAAAAAAGUAUGUCCCUUCCAUCCCGAAUUCUUAAUCUUCUACUCUUCCCUGGCAUUCUCUAUCUCAUAGUUUGAACCAAUCAUGUAAGUUGGUUGAUACAUGGACAAUCUUGCACAAUAUUAGUGAGCAUUUAUUUAUAUAUAUUUUAUUUUUAGACGUGAUGAUUAAAAGAAACGUCGAAUUUACAAAUCUCACUUAUUCACUGUAUUUCAUUUUAUGCGCUAAUAGUUUUCGUAGCAUGAUCACUUAGUAACGACACUGAUUAACAGCUAAGAUAGUUUUCUUUUUCUAUAGUAAUUAGCGGGUCAACAAGCGAUCUUGUGGAAUUAAAAAGUCAUAGAACCUCGAUAAGAUGUACCAAAAGUCAGAGUCAACUCUUACUCCCCAUGUGAUGAUAUCUCCCUACACCCGUUGACCGAAUUAUUUAACUCAGAGACCGAGCUGGCACUAUUCCACCUCCUAAGAAGCGCCUCUCCCCAACACAACAGUAAACACCGGCCCCUGGAAGAUUAUCCACGUGUCGAUCUCCAAUUGGCCAGCAUGGCGAAAUGCCGUUCGCGGGAGUACGAUUGGUUGGUGACGCCGACGUGGCAUCCUCGGUGCAUGGUGAUGGAGGUGAUGACGUAAGCGGGAAUGAGAGGUGGAUUAGUGAAGCCGCAUAUAUAAUUUGCGAUGUAGCGUGAGUAUUAUAUAUUAUCAUGAGUUGUCAUCGUAGCUAUUCUCAGAGUGAGGAGAACGUUAAGAGGGAUUGAAUGUUUAUAUUAACUUGUCUGAUUGAAGGAACACUUUGUCACUUCGACACCGAUGGCGGUGUUCUUGUGGUGUUUUGUUUUCCUGAGCUUUUCGAGCUUCACAGUUCGCGUUCGAGGCCAGUUUGAUUCUCUAGGUAUUUGGCUUUAUGUAUACAAUGCUCAGAUUCUUACUCUCUCGUUUUCAUUUUAAAGUUUUCAUAUGCAUUUUUUAAGUUAACUAGAUCAUAAUAAUGUGGUGUAUUAGAUACAUUUCUGUUUUUGCACAAAUUGCUAUACUUUAUUGUGGUUGUCGAAGUAAGUUAAGUGAGCUUAAUCGCUGAUUGAUCAAGAGUUUCGGAGGUCAUUACUGCAUUUUUUAGGAUAUUUGGCUAGUUGAGUCCAUAGUGAGUUUUCUUGUGCUUUUUUGAUAGUAAUACACAUAUUCUAAUACGAAAAAUAUGAGUCUAUCUAAUUAGACAUGGAUGGUAGUUUUAUUUUUUUAUUUGUAUUUUUAUUUUUUUUAGAAACAAGCAUGGAAUAAUUGCUUACAACGAAAAACUAUAUUUUUAUGUUAAACUUGAAGCAGCUAGCGAAGAUGUUGCUGGAUUUAGGGGUCUUAAACUCAAACACUCUCAUUUUGAAGAAAUAUAUGCAAAAAUCUCGUAACAACUUAUCAGGGCUUAUAUCUUUUUAACAAUUUAUGCAAUGAGAAGUGCAAAUGCAGAGGAUUUAAAAAGCUUGCAGUUGCAUGUGGCUUAAUGCGUAAUUUAACUUAACCAUUUUUAAAUUUUAAAAAACCUCACAAAGUGUUGAUUUGCAGGUUUCAUCAGUAUCGAUUGCGGUGUUCCCGAAAACUCUAGCUAUGCAGACUCCACCACCACAAUACCAUAUACCUCCGACUUCGGAUUCACUGACACUGGAGUGAACCACAACAUAUCCGCAGAAUACCUUACGCCCGGGCUCUCCCGACGUUAUUGGAACUUACGAAGUUACCCGACAGGAACCCGAAAUUGCUACACCUUGAGAUCACUAGUAGUCGGAUUGAAGUAUCUAAUCAGGGCAGGGUUCAUGUACGGGAACUACGAUGGGCUGAAUAAGCUCCCGAUAUUCGACCUCUAUCUCGGGGUUAAUUUUUGGAAAACAGUGAAUAUCUCCGAUCCGGGUUCGGGGACGUUGAUUGAAGUGAUCACGGUCGCGCCGGACGAGUUUAUGCAGGUGUGUUUGGUGAAUACCGGGGGUGGGAUUCCUUUUAUAUCCGUGCUCGAUCUCAGGCCUCUUAAGAACAUUCUUUAUCCGGCCGUUAAUGCUACACAAUCUCUGGUUUUGUUCCGGCGACUCAACGUGGGGCCAACGAAUGAUGUGGCGUUCAGGUUGGUAGGGCAUUUCAUGCUUUUACAUGAACUGAAGCUUGCUUUAAUUAAUUUGCAAGCAGUUAUGAAAUUAGAAAUUGUGAGUUUUGAUUUCUGAAAAACUCCUUCAAACUUAUUAGAACUUUAAAUCGUAAUUGAGUAAGCUAGAUUGCAUUCUCACAUGAACUAAAACUUGCAAAAUUUGAAUUCGGCAUGCUGAAUUGGUGGAAAAAUGAAAAAAAAUCCUUAAACUUUUCACUUUGGAUCAUUUUCUCAUGUAUUUUAACUGAAAUUGUUUUUAUUUGAGUGAAAACAUAUAUAUACUUUUCAAGGAGUAGAGGCUAGUUUACCCACUAUGGUCUAGCACGGGCAAGCUUAUUUUUGCGUGUUUGGUCACAUGUUUGGCGCGUUAAUUUGUUCGGAUACUGUAGUUGUGACUUGUGAGUGUGAUUUCGCGUCCAUCUAUAAGAAUUUGAGAAUCCACAAACGAGCAGUGCAAGCAAAUUUGCUCUGGUCUGCUCAAUCCAAUCUGUUUGAUGUGGUCAGUUUGGACUAGACUUGCACCUGAAACGAAUUUACAAAAUUUUCGAGCUAAAUCACAGAUCAAGUAAAGUUACAAAUAUCUGCUUAUAUUAAAAAAAAAGAAUAAAUGCGAACUGGGAGCAGGUACCCGGACGACGCGCACGACCGGAUAUGGAUCCCGUGGAGCAACGCGCCGUUCUGGACGGAGCUGUCGACGAACUCGACGGUGCAGAACAUCGCGGACGACCACUUCGAGGCGCCCUCGGCCGUGCUGCAGACGGCCGCCGUGCCCGUCAACUCCUCCGCCCUGGAGCUCUACUGGGACUCCGCCGACGCCGGCGCCACCUCCCCCAACGCCGCCGCCGCCGCCCCCCCGCAGUUCUUCGCCGUCCUGCACUUCUCCGAGCUGCAGCUCCUGCCCGCCAACGCCGCCCGGCAGUUCAACAUCUUCCUCAACGGCAAGCUCUGGUACGGCCUGCCCUUCACCCCCGAGUACCUCUACUCCGACGCCGUCUACGGCACCAACCCCACCGCCGGCUACCGCCGGUACAACGUCUCCAUCAACGCCACCGCCAAUUCCACCCUCCCCCCGCUCCUCAACGCCCUCGAGGUCUUCUACGCCAUGCGCGUCGCCGACCUCGCCACCGACGCCGCCGACGGUAAUGCAGUAUACUCAAUUUAUCAACUAUGAAAAUACUGUUAUCUCACCAGUGCAGCGAAAGCAAAAGUAAGCAGAAGCGCAAAGAAGUUACUGAAAAUAUACUAAUAUGCAUUCCUUUUGGGUCGUAGACUUAGCAUUUCUCUCUUUCUAAUAACACUACUCGGACAACACUGUAUCGUACAGUUUAAAGCCAAAUAGGCCCUUAGCGAAUUGUCGAAGUUUGGAAAGAACAACUGAUGUAGGGUUGAUUAGAUAAUAUAUAUACAUUCUAGUAAGGUAGAGAGGGAAACAAGAGCUGGUAGGACUUGGGGAAGAAAGCAUUUGAGUAGAAUCUAAAACAUAAUUUUUUUUUUUUUUUCCAUAAUCUUUCAUCAGUUGCUGCUAUCACGGCGGUCAAGCAAAUGUAUCAAGUUAAGAGAAACUGGAUGGGCGAUCCGUGUGCUCCAAAAUCUUUUGCAUGGGAUGGGUUGAAUUGUAGUUACGCCAUCUCCAGUCCUCCACGGAUAACAACUCUGUAAGUUUCCUCAAUAGAAAAUCGCAAAUUAUCUGAUAAAACCAUGUUUUCAUAAAAUUGACAAUACAACACUGUUCUUGACACCCUUAACUGAACUUCUCUUUUUUUCUUUGUUUCUUGGAAGUAAUCUAGAAUCCAGCGGAUUGAAUGGAGAAAUAGCAACUUCUUUGGCCAGUCUUAAAGCACUUCAGUACCUGUAAGUUUUGCUAUCUUUGUUACUCCAAUUAUUUCUUACUGCAAAAAAAAUUUGUCGCAGAACAAUUUGACAUGAACUUGUAGAGUCUUUAUUAUUAGUUGAUUGACAAUUCCCGUUAUUACAGGGAUUUGUCGCACAACAAUUUGACAGGGUCCAUACCUGAUGCUUUAUCGGAGUUACCGUCACUUGUAUUCCUGUAAGCAUUCUUGUUUUUUUUUGGUGAUUUAGAAAGCCUGUAACAUAUGUUUGUAGAUUUAAUUUUUCCUGGCUUCUUGCAGAGAUUUGACAUAUAACCAACUAAACGGAUCAAUUCCCGCAGGCCUACUUAAAAAAUCACAAGAUGGGUCACUUACGUUAAGGUUUGAAUUUUCUUUAGUUUUACUGCUCCUUUUAAAUUGCGUUUCGUCAAACUGUGUUUCUUUUUUCUAUCUAUCGAAGAUGUUUCCUUUUUUUUAUAGAUUUCUCGCUCUUCUCCUUCAUCUUUUCAAACUUAGACUAACUGCGCUCGACUAACUCUAUGGUCUUUUCAAUGCUAGAGUUGGAAAUAAUUUAAAUCUUUGUAACAACGGUGAUUCAUGUGUGCUCACAAAAUCAAAGAAGAGUACACCGACGGCUGUUAUCGUGAUUGUUCCAAUAGUCGUGGUAGUGCUACUGGUGGCAGUGAUACUAGUAAUGUGCAGAAUAAGGAAACAAAGAGGUAACUUUUAUUGAUGUAAAAUCCUUUCUUGUGCAUUCUCCUAAACAUUGGUAUUUGAGUGAUCUUAGAAACUGUAGUACAUCCAUUAUUGAUCAUCUUACGUGUUGAUAUGCUUUUCUCGAAGGCUUAGCAACAGGCACCUCUGUGAAGCCGCAGAAUGAAGAAAAUUACUCCAGAAGGGAAAACAAUAAUGACGACCACUCGUUGCAAUUUGAGAACAGGCAGUUCAUGUACAAGGAGUUAGAGAUAAUAACGAAUUACUUUGAGCGAGAAAUAGGCAGAGGAGGAUUCGGGAAGGUCUAUGAUGGCUUCUUGGAGAAUGGUACUCAAGUUGCGGUGAAGAUGCGCUCUCAGUCAUCUCAUCAGGGAGUAAAAGAAUUUCUUUGUGAGGUAAUCAAUUUCAAUCAACUUAGCUCAGGUUUUUGGUUCAAAAAAGGAUCAAACUGAACUGAAUAUGUCAUGAAACCAAAACAAUGGCAAACGAAACCUAAUUGAACCAAGAUGAAAAAUAUUGGUAUGGUUACACAGGUUGGAGUUCAGCUGUCUUAUCGGGCCUUGGUUUAGGUUUACUAUGGUUUUCCUCAUCGAUUUCCUAUCUAAUGACUGCGAUGUUUAUAAUCUGCAACCAUUUAGGUUGCUUCUACAUCUUAUUAUUGUUAAUUUAUUCCAGAAAAGUUAUAUUUUGGUUUAGUAUGGAGCAUAUUAACCGUCAUCUCUUCUGCUCUGCGUAACUUAGUUGAAGAAUUUUGAGAUUUCUUUAUUUAUUGUGUUGGCGCUCUUUAUUUAUUGUGUUGGCGCAAGAUUACUGUUGGUAUACACUCUCCUCAAACUCAGAUGCUUCUUAAUACACACCUGACAGCAUUCUGAAUUCUAUUACAGGCCCAGCACUUAACAAGGGUUCAUCACAAGAACCUGGUUUCGCUGAUUGGCUACUGUAAGGAUGGAGACUACCUGGGACUUGUUUAUGAGUACAUGGCUGAAGGGACCCUCCAAGAACAUCUGAGAGGUUUGUGAAUUUUAAAUUUGUUAAAUAUUUUGUGGUUGCGAUAAAGCUGAUUCAACGAGCUAUUGUUGAUCAUCUUUGACAGGUAGAACUUCUGGAGCUAGACCUUUGACAUGGGGACAGCGGCUCCGAAUUGCACUUGAAUCUGCUCAAGGUUUUGUAGUAACAUAUAGUCUUUCUUUUAUUUUGAAGAGUAGAUAAAAAAUGUAUGGACAACUAUAGGGCGUUUCCUGGCAGUUGAAAAGUGAGCAUAGCAGUUGAAUAUAGUAGAAUAGCCGUUAAGUUUAAUGGAGUCUCCAAUUCACCUGGCAGACAUAUAUCAAAGAUGAGUGAAAGUUGAACUGUUGAAGGGGUGUCAAUAAAUAAAUUUUUUUAAAAAAGGUUAUGGUGGCUAUUUCAAAACGGCCUAUUAUUAAGUUGACGGGUCCUCCAUACAUUUUUACCUAAGUUUCGUGUCACAGUCUUGUCUCAUUAUUUACAUAUAUUGGUCUGCAGGGCUGGAGUAUUUGCACAAGGGAUGCAAGCCUCCACUAAUUCACAGAGAUGUCAAGACCAAUAACAUACUCUUAACCGCAAAUCUAGAGGCUAAGAUAGCUGAUUUUGGGCUGUCCCGGGCAUUCAACAAUGAUACAAGCACAUCAGAAUCCACGCCCACAGCAGUGGUCGGCACCCCAGGAUACAUAGAUCCUGAGUAUGUCCCUUACAUCCCUCAUUUGUUCUUUUUCCUGCUUUUACUUAGAUUUGUAGCUUUUUUUUUUUUUUUUUUCUGAAGAAAUACUUAGAUUGGUAGCAUGUAUGUCAAAUUCUGGAUUGAUUACAAAUGUAACCUCCGUAGUUUGACUUGAUUUCAAUUUUUGUCCUCCGAUUCUAAAUUGUAAACAGAAGCACUUCAGUCACUGAAAUUUGUUGUGUGUUAAAAUUGGGAAGUCUAGGAUGAAGCUGAAAUAGGAAUCAAACAUGAAGGACUAAAUUUUCAAACUGAAACUCUGAGGACAACAUCGAUAUCAAGUUAAAAUUUUGGGGCUUAGUUGUUAUAACUGUAAAUCCAAGGACGAAAUUGAAAUCUGGUUCAACAUCAAGGACUAGAUAGUGCGGCUACUGUAUUCAACUUUUCUGUAAGAGUUUUCUAUUAUCCACAUUUUACUUCUGUAUGAAGAUCAAAAGCAUCCUAUUAUAUGUAUCUUCAGGUAUCAUAACACAUUCCAUCCAAGUGAGAAGACCGAUGUAUACAGCUUCGGCGUGGUUCUCCUGGAGGUCAUAACGGGCCAAUCCCCCAUUCUGCCCGGAUCCGAUGGUGUCCACAUAGUCCAAUGGGUUCGCCAAAGGCUUGCUAGAGGGAACAUAGAGGGUGUUGUAGAUUCAAGAAUGCGAGGAGAAUAUGAUAUAAACUCGGUCUGGAAGGUUGCAGACGUGGCAUUGAAGUGCACCGCGCAAUCCUCGAGCCAGAGGCCGCUGAUGCCGGAAGUCGUGAUGCAGCUAAAAGAAAGCUUGGAAUUGGAAGAAGCUAGCGGCAGGAGCCAUAACUUCUACUCAGGAAGCAUUAAUCCAUAUUCGAGGAGCGAAAACAUCUAUACAGAAGUUAGCGAUGUUAGCCAGAACAGUGCUUUCGAAGUGGAAAAUGUGGUGGAAGUAUCAGCAAGUGGUCCGGCGGCACGAUGAGAUCAAUUCACCCUUUUUGUCCUUCCCACUAUUCUUCCUUCUGUGUGUAGUUUUUCGUAAGUAAGGUAUUCAAAAACGAGAAUAACAUGUUUGAACUUGAUUUCCUGUUGAGCAUGCUUAGAGUAUAGGUAUGGUAUGUUAUUUUCCGAAUUGUAAACAUGUCCUGUUUCCUGUAUACUCAUGAUCCCGAGCUAUCAUGUUUUAAGUGGUCUUUUUCUUUUUACAACUUAAUCUUUAACUUACCUUGCUGCAUAGGGUCAUUCUCUAAUGUAUCUCUCCUCAGAUAAGUGUAUUUAUGUUACUAAAUCACACACUAACUGUGGUUUAUGUAAAACUAAAAACAAUUUGAUCGUCAAUAAUUUAAAUCUCGAUUAUAAACUCUAAAUCGACUUGCAACUAAUGUCAAAUGACAAUUUAAACGUAGUCCCUGAGUUUUCGAAUUAUGCCCUUAGCAUAUUGUCCGUUAAGUAAAAUAGGCAUCACUAAUCUUAAAUUCUUACCAUUCAAAUUAAAAAUUGAGAUAACAAGUGAAGUGGUCUUCUUCAAUUACCUCACCUCGCUUGGAACUUGUCGAUUAGAUUAUGUAAUACAAAUUCGGAAAAGAUGUGACAAAUAAUGCGACCCCAAUCCAACCCAAACGGCAAAGCAAGCUUUUCCCUGACAUUUUUUUUAAAAAAAAAGGAAAAAUCGGUUUCAAAUCGCGUGCACGAACUAAACUGCAUUCGCUAACCAAAGCCCAAAGGGAUAAGAUGAACAGGUCGGAGACUCGGAAACUAAUGGGAAACUUCAAUUUUCUAUACAAGCAGGGUUGACCCUGACCCCGGUGUGGGUUGACCAUGACCCUAGUCUCCGCACCGCGUUGCGUUUUUGGUUAAGUUCGUAACCAGUCAGAUAAACCUCAAUUACCCACUCCGUGGUGUUUACGUUAUAAUUUUAUUUUUUUAAAAUUUUACUAUAAGAAUUAAUUAUCAUAACAAAAUAUUAUAUUUUAUAUUUCAUUAUUUGUAAAACAUAUUCUAAAUUGUAGGAUAAACAACUGUAAAUAUAUAUAAGCUAAAUAACAAAAGAGUGAAUGCUCAAAAUUUUGUCCAAAAGGUGAGUGGGUGUUAGUAUAACUUUCACCUCUUCUUGUAACUUAACACAAACGCCAAGUGCUUUCACACAGAAAUUUUUUUUUUUUUAAAAAAAAGGAAAAAAGAAAAAGAAAAGCUGGGAGACUUAGUACUGAACACGGCAUUGGCCUUAACAUCAUCUCUCUAUCUCCAAGUCUCCUCCUAAUAAUUGUAGAGAGCCCAAGGGAUAUAAGUUGUGGUGAUUCUAUCUCUUAACACAUUCUGGGAUCACCUCUUUCCUUUUUUAUCUUUUCCCCCUAAAAAAGAAUACUUUGGUUAUUCUACAGAGAUUGUUGGGGCACUAAUAAUGUGGAGAAUUUUUCGAAGGCGUGGAGGUAUUUUUUUUUCCUUUUUUUUUUUUUGGCUCAUUGAUCAACUAUUGAAUAUGCUAGCUAUUGUUUUUUAGCCUCAAACAUAUACUACUACUACAUGUAUUUUAGGCGUUUGUGGCCAACAAGGAGAUAAUGAAGGCCUUUUGGUGCAAACUAAGGUUCGGCAGUUCACUUACUCACAGUUGAAAAUUAUGACCGGCAAAUUCAAACAUGUAAUUGGUGGAGGAGGAUUUGGGUCUGUGUAUUGUGGUCGGUUAGAAGAUCGUAGUCGGGUCGCGGUGAAAAUGCGGUCGCAACGAUCUUCGCAAGGGCUCAAGCACUUUCUUGCCGAGGUAUCCUGUUUGGAUCUUCCACAAGUUGCAUACAAACUGUUUACAACGCCGUUUUCUAGCAAUUUAAGCUUUUAAACAAGGCGAAAAUAUGCAAAACUCGCAUGAACUAUGAACUGCGCCAUUUAUUUUUACUGGUUUAGUUAGUGUACUUUCUAUAAUUCUCGCAACUAUAAAUUUAUUGAAGUAAGAAACUAGCUUAAAUUUCGAAGUCAGAGUGUUGUUGCCUGAUUCAAAUCACAUCAAUUAAAAUGUUGCCUGAUUCAUUUCCUAAAUGAAUGAAGCGGUAGCACGCUAUCUUUUCUCAAAAAAAAAAAGAAAAGAAAAGAAAAAAAGUUGGUUUAGUAAAAUUUAGAUUUUGAAAGGUCGGAUAGUAGAUUUAAAAUGAUCCGUAGCUCAAGGAAGCUCAGUUGCUCAUAUGGUAUCAGAUCAGAAGGCUUUCGUGUUGUGCGAGUUGUGAAUAUUACAAGUCUUGUGAAUGUUACAAUUAGAGCCAAAUUCCGACAGUGUAUCUAUAUUUUGGUCCUGUGUGGAUCUUUCUAAAAUGCUGCACAUCGUAGGAUUGAAAGAGUACUCUUGUAAUGACUAAUGUAGCUUUUAGCAGUCCUUGGCGAUGACACUCCACUGAAACAUUGUGCUGCACUGUUAUGGAUGCAUGUUGCGAUGCAGGUUAACAUUUUAUCGAAAGUGUAUCAUAGGAACCUCGUGUCGCUAGUCGGUUAUUGCAUGGAUAGAGAUUGCCUUGCGCUCGUCUAUGAGUACAUGGCCCAAGGAAGCCUUCAAGAUCGUCUAAGAGGUCGGUGACUCAGUAAUAGUGCAUUAGUUGAUCAACUACAUCUACUUCACUGUCAUGUAGAUGUAUGCUAUUUGAAUUGCUCCUACUUAUACUCGUUCAUAUCGAUGUUUCUUUUGGAAAGCAAUUCUUUACUUGUUUUUUUUUUUUGUUUAUCCCCCUUACUCUUACAGGUGAAAGGGGCAUUGUCAACGUAUUGACUUGGAGAGUGCGGCUUCAAAUUGCACUUGAAGUUGCAAAAGGUUGGUCGACCGUGUAAUUUAAUCCACCUGCAUAUCUAUGUAUCUGUUUCUUUUUAUUGGCUUAUCUUUCCCUGAGAUUUGACAUGAUGAAGGACUGGAAUAUCUGCAUGCUGGAUGCAAGCUUCCGAUAGUCCACAGAGGGGUCACAAGCAGCAACAUUCUUCUAGAUGAAAAUCUAGAGGCUAAGUUAUCUGAUUUUGGCCUGGCCAGAGAGUUCGCAGCUAGUUCAGAGAUGCAAUCGUCGGUGACGGGCGUUGCUGGUACCAUAGGCUACCUUGAUCCGGAGUACAUCUCUCUUUCUCUUUUUUCUCCUUUUAGUUAAUUUCAUGUUAUGUUUUAUUAUCUUUGGUUCCUUAAUCGCAAUUGGUAAAUUGGCAAAACCCUGGAGGGUUCUUCCUGUAAAAGGAAGAGUAGUUGUUAACUAGAAAAGCAAAAAUAUGUCAAACUUUAUUAAGUAUAUUAUGUAAACAUUUCGCGUGUUUCAGCCAACCACUUCACUCGAAUUUCCUUCUGUUUUUUAGUCAGAUUAAAUGCCAAACGAUUCUAGCGCUCCUAAACUCAUCAAGGCAUUGAAAAGAAGGGGGGGGGUUUAAUGGUAGUUACUAAACAUUGGCCUAAAGAGAGCUGCUGCUUGAAAAUAAGAGGAAUGAUGAUCAUUAACCACUGUUAGAGAUAAGAGUCCUGCUGGAGCUCAAUUCCUGCAGCCGACUAACGUUGUUCUCUUCCUAUAACGUUUUAGGUACAUGUUUACUGGCGUAUUUAGUGAUAAGAGUGAUGUGUAUAGCUUUGGCGUGGUUCUAUUGGAGAUAAUUACGAGUCAACGCCCAUAUACACCAGGAGAAGAUGCUCCGGGAGGUCACAUAGUUCGGCUAGUGUCCGAGAUGCUCGCUAGGGGCGGUUUUCAUGAUGUUGUUGAUGCCAGGCUGCAAGGGAAUUAUAACAUUGAGUCUGUUUCUAAGGUCAUAGAUCUUGCGAUGCGGUGCACAGAAGAAGCCUCGUCUCGACGACCAACGAUGGAACAAGUGGUGGCGCAGCUGAAGGAGAGCUUGGAACUGGAGAUAUUACCUGGAGAGGGGAGCGACUACCUGUUCAGUGAAGACAACUACGCCAGUCAAAAUAGUGACUUUGAACAAACACCAAUUAUUGCGAGAUAAAGAGUUCUCUUCUCUCCACAAUCUAAAGUGCGGCUUGAGCAAUAUACAUCCAAAUAUCCAGAUUGAGGUUGGAACAUAACAGGGCAUAUAUGUAGCCUUCAAUGUACUGUGUAAUAUGAGAUCUCCAUAUCUACAUAUGUAGUAAGUAUAUCCUCCCCUUCUUGUAUUACUUCUUGGGUGUCGGUGUAUUCUUGUCAGACAACUGCGACAGCAUAGAGUUCAGUUUAUAUAUGUUUAUUCAUUCUGUAUGUCUUUAUUUGUGCGUGUAUGUAUAUGUGCAUCAGUGUUGGACCUGCAGAUCUAGAAGUUGAGCUGUUAGAUUCUACGUGCCUGAUCAUUUGUAGCUUUGCUAAUCUAUGGAGCUGAUACAUACAACUGUUGAAUCAAUAUAUUCGAGUCUUUUCCGUGUGACACUUUCAAUUCAAAGUCGUCUCUCUUCUGUGUUAAGAUUAGCAUUUUUUUUUUUAUUGUAAAUUAUUAUUGUGAUUCUAUGAAGUGCACGGAAUAGCAACUGUAGCAGUUGGUUUCUGUAUUCUCUUUAAGCUGUUUUCUCUAUGUUCAUUACAAUUUUGGACAGGUCAGUAACACAUUUUGUUCUAUUAAAGCCCAAGGCUUAAAGUUGAAUAUUUUGCUGCUUGUUUCACGUUGUGCUCUCACAUUCACCGGCGGACUCAACCCUCUUGGCGAAUCCACACUGCUGAAUUCGCCAGUCUUAUUCACAUAACUAUGUAACAAGGUGAUCAUGCUACAAAAUAUGUUGAAGAGAAUAAUUCUUUACCAUUCACAAGUCUUUUUUUUUUUUGUUGAGAAAUUGAAAGCAUGGUACCGCUUCAUCAUUUAGAUAGUGAACUGGCUAGAAAGUGAGGCAAUUAGGCCUCUAGAAAAGAUAGAAAAAGGAAGAAAGAGAGGCUUACAAAUCCUUCAGAAAGAGAAAAGAGUAGAAGAUAGUUACAAUAUUAAAUACCCGGAGGACCCCCGGGUUAUGUUGCACAGUAUUUAUCCGAGAGGUCUCUAGAAGUAUGGAUUUCUGCUAACAUCUGUCUCUGCGAGAGUUUCUCUUCUGAAAACUUUGCCUAUUUUGAUCGAGCCAGAUAACCCAUCAGGUAAUGGCGAUUGUCACCAGCUCCCCCAGCCUUAACGUACCUCUCUUAAGUCGACUCAUCUUCCAAAGUGUAAAUGUUGAAUCACAAGUGUGAAUUUCCUUCCUAUUAGGCAUUAGACACUCCAGCAAAAGUCUGGUAACUUCACAAUUAGCAAAUAGAUGGUCAAUUUCACCCUUGUGAAAGCAAAGUGCACAUUCUUGCUCUCCAAGCCAAUCCCUUUUUCGUAAAGUGUCAACCGUAAGCAUCUUUUGUUUUAAAAAUAACCGAGCAAAAUUUUUGACUUUCAGUUGGGUGCAGAUUUUUCAUAACGGUGCAAAGCUCCUAACCUUGACUCCAUUAUGUAGGAAAUUAUAAAGCGAUUUGAUGAAAAACUUUUUAGAAUGGGCGCAUCUCCAUUUGACUUCAUCCCUUCUGUUAUUCAAUGUUAUGUUAGAGAGCGUCUCUUUUAGUUUCAGUAUCAACUCUCUAUCAAAUGGCGCUAUUGGGGUGAAAUCAGCCAGUAUCACGUCCUACCUCCACCUAUUCCCUUCGAAGCAGUCACUCACCCAGCAAUUUUGCCAUACUGCGUUCCUAAAGAUGUGUGGAUAUAAGGAGCACAUUGGAGCCUCUCCAAACCAAAGAUCCUUCCAAAAGCUCAGACUUCUACCAUCCUCAACUAAAUAGGUAAUCCCGCAUUUGCAGGUAUCUUUAGUUCCUAAAAUGCUUCUCCAUCACUGUGAAUGUGGUCUCAAGGACCCUCUUUCUCUUAGCGCUCUCCUCCGGGAGUAAUAUAGGGCUUUAAAAAGGAUAGCCUAUUGUUGGCUCGUAUUCGAAAAGAGCCUCCAUCACUAUUUCGACAUUAGGGCCACAUUCAAGCUUUCCAAAUCCUUAAUUCCUAGAACACCCUGCUCCGGCAAACUAAUUUCACUGCAUCAGACAUUGUCCUCCCGCAAAAGUUCCUUCUUUCCAGAAAAAGGGUUGCUGGAGGGCCUCUAUGCGUUGUAGAACCCAUUUAGGCGCUCCAAACACAGAGAAGAAGUACAACGGCAGGUUUGAGAGUACAGAGUUCACCAAAAUCAGUCUACCUCGUUGGGAUAAGAGUUUAGCUUGCCACCCUUCAAUCCUUUUUUCAAGCUUACCUAUAACGGACCACCAGUCCUCAUUACAAAGGUGUUUGUUCAUAAGGAGCAGCCGAAGAUAGUGGACCACAAAUGUCCCUAAUUUACAUCCAAGGUCACCAGCCAACCUCUCGUCAUUAUCGUCUUUCUUACCCAUGUAGAAUAGCUCUGACUUAUUCUUAUUUAUCUUUAGACCGGAAGCCUAUUAAAAAAUUUGACAUAAAACAAAAGGUUUCUCACCUGCGUUUGCUUUGCCUUACAAAAAAAGAUAGUAUCAUCUGCAUACUAGAUAAUUGCAAUCUUACUUCUCUUAUUUGGUCCCAUUCUUUUUAGAAGGUUGUUUUUGAUGACUCUUUUCUUCAUUCUCAAUAAUCCUUUUGCUACCAGCAGAAAAAGGUACUGAGAUAGUGGGUUACCUUGUCACAAAUUUAGUCCUGAUCCACUUAGAGGGUAGUCCAUUAACUAGAAUCGCCAUUUUUGCGUUGGAAAUACAUUGGUCAAUCCACUCGCACUAUUUGUAAUUCGCUCCAAGCCACCUCAUGACCUUCCGAAGGUACUCCAAUUCACUCAGUCAUAAGCCUUUUCAAAAUCAGCUUUAACACCAAUACUUCGCACUCCUAAUUUCAACAGGCAAUAUACUAACUUACUGGCUGUCACAAAAGAGUUCGAGAUUAAGCGACCUUUAAGAAAGCUGAUUGGGAUGGAGAAAUAAUCUCUUGCAAAACAACUUGUAGUCUAUUGGCGAGAACCUUAGAGAUGAUCUUCUUCACUCUAUUGAUGAGACUAAUGGAUCUGAAAUCAUUGGCCAACCUAGCCCCCUCUUUCUUAAGUGCCAAGCACAUACAAGUAAUCUGUAGGCCCUUUAUUCACGAUACCGUCAUAGAGAUCCCAAAAAAUCUUGAAUAAGUUGUCCUUCGCCACCUUCCAGAAUGUUUGAUAGAACUUCAUAUUAAAUUCAUUUGGACCUGAAGCUUUUUUGCCGCCUAGCUAGAAGGUUGUUAUUUUGAUCUCCUCUAAGGAAACAGGCGCGGUGAGCUGCUCAAGGUUCAGGAUAGCUCUUUUCCCAAAAAGACUGCUCCAGACCCCAAUCGACGGACAACUUAGGUCGACUGGUGCAAAAAUCUUUUGGAAUUUGUUAAAAAAAUAUUCCUUUUUAUCUUUCUCUCUAAUUUUUUUUUAACCUUCAUCCUCUAUCACAUCAAUCAAGUUUUCACGCCUUCUCCCGUUAGCAAUCGCAUGAAAAAGUUUUGUAUUCCCAUCUCUCUUCUUUAACUAUUGCUGUCCGGCACGAGCCUUCCACAGUAGCUCUUCAUCCCCAAUAAUAAUAGCCAGUUGCUCCUUAAGGUGCUUCCUUUCCUCAUGUUGCCGUAGAGACAAGCAGCUUUGUUGUUCUUCUAUAGGAGAUCCAAAUUUAGCAUUUUCUCUUCAAUGCUCUUUUUUAGCUUUCAUGAUGCUACUAGAAGUCCGUUGUACACUAUUUAUUAAUCCUCUUAUGACAAUAUCUAAUUUUAGCCACAACAGUUUUUUUUUUUUUUUUUUUUUUUUUUUUUGUGAGAGAUAGGCAGCACGCUACCCGCUUCGUUUAUUUCAUUUAGAAAUAAACUUAGCUGGAAAUGUGAAUCAACUAGAAUUCGAACUUAGAACCUCGGGUACCAACCACCAAGCCCUUUGCCACUUGCUUUAGUGAUGGUCGGUAAUUUUAGCCACAGAAGUUAGGAUACUAGA
rnacentral:lncRNA from 1 species